rnacentral:lncRNA from 1 species
GGAGGAGGAGGUGGAGGCGGCAUAUCCUCACGCCCUGGGUUCUGACACGUUGAUGGAGCCAUCCUGAAGACGGACAUCAUAUUAGCCCACAAAAUAACUUAAAGAUAUUGCUGAAUCAAAAGACAUGAAUAUCUGAACAGGAAUAAGCAAUUGCACUCGAGCAAAAUAGUAAGAAUGCUUUCUCAAAGUGACGGACGACAAAAUUUCGAUUAACACCACUGCAAACAAGUAUGAGCUAGAACUGCUCAGAACAAACGUAUGAUCGAGAUUUCCCCAACCUCAAUCAUGCAUUUGUAGGAAGAUAGUCCUAUAAGAUACUACUUGAUAUCCCACCUAUGAAUUCCCGAAAUAACUAGUCAUGCAAUCUGGUACACGGAUACAAGGAGUAUUAUCACACAAGUCCUAUACUAACCCGUCACCUGUAUCAUAUCCAUCAACACACAACCAGCAUCUCGGACCUUCAUCUACAACAGACCCUCGUGAUCACAACGAUACUAAGUAUGACAGUACUCCCGAACAAUCUGCACCAGUACUGGGGAAAUCGGGGUUAUCUCGCCACCACCAGUAUUGAAGCAAUAACGAAGAUCCUUCGUUCUUAGAUACUCAAAAAUCCGAAUGAUGGCGAUGUGCGCAAGAAUCCCCUGGAGCUCAACUCCCCGGAAGAAAUCAAAGCAGACAGGGGGCACCAAGACAGGACUCCGUCACAUCGAAAUCAUAUAAAUUUCACAAAUACCCGCGUGAUCCUAAAAAAAAUUGAGCGAGAAGAGGAGUAGAAUAAAGAUUUCCUAGGUCGGGAACCUCACCAGAGCAUAGAAGAGGAGAAAAAAGAAUCCUACUCUCCGAUAUAACUAAGAUUCAAAACAUUUUACUAGACUCGACUCGGCCAAGUACGAUCACACAAAGGCUCCUAUGGUCGUAAGGCUCUAAUUACCAACUUGUAACGACUAAGAUGCGGUCCUUUCCGAUCUGGGGAUCGAGGCCCCGAAUUGGAAAGGAGCGCACCUAAGCGUCUCGCAAACAAGGUAUCACAGCACAUACAUAAUAAUAACAUAUAGACAAUCAGGGGUUCAAUUGACUUCUCAUAAAUAUAUCAGAGUUCAUCACGCAUACAAUCAAAGUAGUUCCGCUACGAGCUACAAAACAAGAGAAAUGGCUAUGCUACCCUGCCUGCUGGCCCACGAUCACGACCACGCCUCAAUCUUCUGGAUAGUUCACGUAGAGGCGGUCGGUCUCCUCGUCGUACUGACACGCCAGCUGCGUGCCGUCGGGAUCACCUGUCUCUGGGGUACCUAAGCCUGUUGGUGUUGUGAAGGAAUCUGUGAGCCACGGGGACUCAGCAAUCUAUGACCUCGGUGCCAGACAUAGCCAAGUUAUUAGGUUGGAUAGGGUAGAGUGUUUAAGGUUGCAACAUCCUAAGCUUGAUAAGGUGGCUAACUUACAUAGAACAUUUAUGAAGGUGGUCUAUACUAGCGGUCGAGAAUACUUGAUCACUAAGUGAUCCUAAACCCUACCUACGUCAAUCAUAACCCCACCGUGUUCCCGAUCGAAGAGAGAUCUUCGAGGGGACAGUCAUGGUUACACACACAGUUGGCAAUUUUAUUGGCUUAUGUUUAAGUUAUCUAUUACCGGAUGUUAACAAAAUAUUCCAAGUUGCCACAUAACCGCGGGCACGGCUUUCUGAAAGAUUAAACCCUGCAAGGGUGCUCCAACUAGUCCAUCACAAACGUACACAGGCCGCAAAGUAAUCCUCUAUCACGAAUCUCGUGAUCUCGUCGGAUUCCUUAGAGGAAAAUCUCAACUCUGGGGAGAACCAAAGCUUCACCGGGAUUUCUAUACGCAAGAUAUAUCGCUAAGGUAAGACAAGACUAGCAGGACCUCCCGACGUGUUGACGACCCUGAUAAGAGCCGCGUAUCUCAGUCUCAGGACACGCCGGAUGAGCGAUGGUUACCAUGGCAAAACACCGAGUUGCCCCGGGGAGCGUAAUAAGCUGCUCUGGGUUGGACCAACACUCAUGAGGAGCACUGGCCCGGGUUGUUGAUUAAAUUCCUCGGGGUAGCUAUUCCCUAUGCAGAUUAUUAUUAAGUGAUUAGCAAAUUAACACCAAUGUUGGGUCCUGCGGGACAAGUCUUAACACUACGCGAUUUAUCGAGGGGGUCCCCAUAACAACCCCGAACGUGUUAGGAGCGAUCAAUAUGGAACCAAACACCGAUAGCCGGUAGCGAUGGCGGCAAUAACGUAACAAAGCACCCGGCAAAAGGCUAGGCCUUCCGUUAUUUACCAAGUAUAUAGGUGCAUUAAUUAAAUAACAGAAUUAAAGAUAAUGACAUCAAGCUCAUGUUAUCACAUGAGGCAAAGCACCUGCAGCUAGCAACGCUAACAUUAGUAGCUGAGCAAAGCCUACUUAGCCAUUCAAGUUUGCUAGGAAGGGGUAAGUGUUUGGGUUUCAUGGCAUAUCAAGAGGCAAAUAUUUCAGUGGUAGGCAGCGAGCAUAUGACAACGGAAACGUAAUCUAGCAUAACAAGUCUAGAGAUGGAAUCAAGGUCAUAUCAUCUUGCCUGAGAUAUCCUCAGCUUGGAAUGGUUCUUGUUCGUCCUGUACGUACUCUCCUGAAUCCACGUAUUCGUUCUCCGAUCCCGGUGCUACCCAACAUAAUAAUAACAUCCAAUGAACAACAGCACCGCAAGAUGCAACAAGCACAUGAUGCAUGAGAUGAAUAUGAGCAUGCAUCACUAUUUCUAUCACUAGCACAAGCAUAAAGAGUAAAUACAUGUUCCUGGACAGAACUGCAUCCUAGGAUAUUUUUGCAUGCAUGAGAAUGACAUGAUCAGAUGCGUCUCGAUAAAACAAUGCAAAAGCAUAUAAAGAACAUUUCAAUCGGAGCUACGGAUCAACGGGAAACAACGAAACAAGAUAUGAAGCCCUACGUGUCAAAAUCAUCACCAUACACUCAAAUGGCACAACUCUGGUAUUUCCAGGUUGCCAAGACAUAAAAAAAACCAACAUGGAUGGGGUGGAGCAAAGAAGAACACCACAACAUCAACUAAGCACUCACAAACAUCAAAAUGAUAAAACUACACAAUCUGCCAUAAACUGCAUCUUAGCACUUUGUGACCUACAUGCAAAGCACCUACAGCCACCCAAAUAUGACAAAUAAUAUAUGUGGUUGUAGCUAUCCAAGAAUACUACAAGCACAAGCAAGAAUCACACAAAAAGGAAUUAAACACAGAAAGAUACAAGGCCGUAAACUUGCCCAAAAAUAUCAGUUUUCAAGGACUUUGUGAAAAUUCCAGAUUCUCACUUUCUGUCUUAGCUCUCAAGCACUUUGAAAGCAUCCAAAACAAUAUCUACAGCACUCCAAAUGACAUGAAAUUUUACAGGGAGCUAGACAAACAUAUCAGGUCCAACUUUCCAGUUGAAAGCUAAGGCUAGAUCACAACACAUUGACCUGCACAACCUCAACAACAAGAGAAGAAAAUAUAAACAGAUUCUCAGACUUAGUGAAAAUCUAAUCUGUAAUUUCAGUCACAUGCCAACUUUGAGUGGGCAUAACUUGCACAUAUGGACUCCUAAUCAUGAUAUGAAACCAACAAGAGGUAGAGGGGGUCACCCUCUACUAGCACAAUCAAGAAGCAAUUCUUUGUGGCUCAACAAAUCACAUGGAACCAAGCUCUAAACAUAGAAGAAAAAGAAAUAUGCCAUCUCCAGAAAAUGUGCCAAUGGCAAAACUGAGUUCACCAAUGGAUUCCUUGGGAUAUUAUACCCCAAAAUCAUAUAUAAUAUGUGGGCACUUACUUGGAACAAGUGACCAUAAAUUAAGAAGGAAGAAGCUACUCCAAAUCAUGUAUAGUGAAUAGUGCAACAUAUCAUGUGACUAUCACUAGAACAAUUACUACAUAGUUAUGCUCAUGUGCACAAAGACAAUAGUGACAUGAGGGUUUGAACCCCAUGUUUGUGUCAUGCACAACAACAUCACAAGCACUACUUUCACUAGAUCACCCACACACACACACGCACAUCAUGCCCUCUCUCAUAUGAACAUGAGGAGGUGCACAAGUGUUGCAAGUGGGGCUGUUUUCACCACACACAUAUCAUCACAACAACCUCAUCACAAGCACUUAAUCCCAAGAACAACAUGAAGGAAAAAAACUACUAUGCAAGUAAACAUGGAGCAUCACAUACAUACACUCGUACUAAGUACCACAUAACCACCAGUCAUAUAUUGUGUGCACCACUUACACACAUAUCUUCAUAUCUACACCAUCAUCAGCACUCACAACUCCUAUGCACACAAGCUAGCUGCAAUUACACCACCAACACAUACUAGCAAGAACACAUACACACACACAUGCACUUCUACUAGUGUGUGCAAAACACACACACAACAUACAACCUGCAUCUAGCUACACUAGCAGGAAGAAGAAAUAAAAAGGCCACUUUGAUGUCUAUAGAGUAGGCACAAGUGGAGUAGGGCAAAGCAAAAGAAAUAAAAUAAGAGAGGAGUGGAAAAAUGCAGGUGACAAGCCUGGGAAUCGAACCCAGGGCCUCUGUCACGCCACUGCACCGCGCUACCACCACACCACUGCCACUGGUUCGAUAGAGUAUGGUGGUUAAACAAGGUAACUACGUACCUUGCUACCGUGCCGAGCAAAGAUAAGGAAAAAAAGGAUGCCGAGGGGGGGACUCGAACCCAGGCCCUCCUGACAGGCAUUGGAAACAGGCUACCACUGGGCUACAAUACGGCUACUGCUAGUAAGGGGGAUCUAUUCAGACAAGCUAACACAAGCAACCGAUCCAGUGCUCCGCACGCCGGCGACAGGAAGGCUGUCGGAGUAGAUCUGCUGCUGCUGCAACAUCUACGGGGAGAGCCACCACUACACGCCGACGCAAACAAAGGGACAGAGCCCCUACUAUCACUCCACACCACGCAAAGGGACAGAGCCCCUACUAUCACUACACACCACGCACCGCGCCUGACAGAGAUAUACACGCACACAAUCAUUGAGUUGCUGCUCUGCUUCGAUAGUGAACAUGGCGACAGGGAGGUCGCCGCAUCCACUGCUACUGCAAGCUACCGGAGGGAGCUCUGCAACUAACCGAUGCACUACGAGGGGGGAGAAGCCCGUGCUGCUCAACACAUCUACACCAAAACUGCACCACGCCUACACAUACAUACUGCACUGACGAACUGCAACAGACAGGAAACCGGCGAGCACUACACGGUGGAUCCGGACGAUCGAAGGAGGAAGAGGCACAGGGAAGACGUUCCUCACCUUGGGGAAGGAAGGAGAGGACCCCACCGAGGAAGAGGCGACGGAGAGGAAGCAGGCCGGCGAUGCAGACAAUCCUGGAAGCAGAACGAAGCAGACGAGGGGGGACUUCGGGUCCGCGGCGGAGACGACGUCCCUGCCGUCGGUGAGGAGGCUCCUCGACCUCACCGAGGGCAAAAAUGGAGCGCGGGGGAGUCCCCCAUGCUCCUGGACAUGGCUGCGGCACCGGAGCGCUACGGGAGCACGGCGAUCGACGGCGGAGGGCUUCUCUGGCUAGCUACAGGACUUACGAGAGGGGGGAGGAAGAAGAAGAGAGAAGGUGGCGGCGCACUAGUGGAGGAGAGGGAAACCUAGGAGGGAGGAGGAUGACCUGCGGCUUUAUAGUGCCCCGGGGGAGGACCUUGACCACUAGAUCGACAGGAAGGAGGAUCGGGAGGAGGAGAUGGCGUCGUACACCAUGACGUCAUCCCGAGGAGGAAGAGGAACGCGCUACGGGCUACCGCCUCGCUAAUGAGAGGAGUUGGGCCUCUCUGGUGGGAGGAAGCCCACCAGAGCGUUACUUAAAAGGAAAAGGCCACUCCCUGCAAAUUCCUAUUAAAUAAAAUCACAGAGAAAGGAAAAGGCCACAGAGAAAACCAAAGAAGAUAAAAUAAAAGAAAAAAUGUUCCUGGGCCUGAAAAAUAGUAAGCUAAUUAAACAAAAUACUAAAAGGAUUUUUGGGGCGCAUAAAAUAAAUACAAAACAGCAUAUUAGUGGCUGUUUUGUGUUUAUUCAUGCAGCUUUAGCACCCAAAACAAUUCACCAAUCUAGCACACCGCUCCAAACGAAGGUUAGCGUCCACAAGUGUGUGAACUUCGGGAUACACCGUCGUCUCCGCGUGCCUUAGUUAUCUCUUACCCGAACCCUUUAUUAUGCACUUUACUUUGUGAUAGCCAUAUUGUUGCUUGUUAUAUAUCUUGCUAUCACUUAGUUGUUUAGCUUACUCAACAUAGGUUGUUGGUGCACAUAGAUGAGCCUAGUUAUUUUAGGUUUUGUGCUUGACUAAUUAAAUGUUAGUUUUAUUCCGCAUUUAUUCAAGCAUAAACCGUAAUUGUUAUAAAUCGUCUAUUCAUCCCCUUUAGGCGACAUCCACGUCCUUUCACGCAUACACAUAUCAUAUGAGAGGCAAAAGAGUCUUUUCGUGUAUCAUUUAGACUAAAAUUGAAUAGAAGUGUCACAAAAGACAUACAAUUUAGACUCGUCAUUAAAAAUAAAUAAAAAUUACUUUUCCAGUGUUAAAUAAAGAAAUGAAAAUUAAAAUCUAUACCUACUGAUAAAAGAAAUAGAUAUUCUUAGUCCAUCAUGCUAUUUUAUAGAAAACCGCCUGAAGUUUCUGACAAUAAACCCGGAGUACAUAUGAAAUGUUUUCUAAAAUACCCAUAUCUUCUAAACCGUAAUUCUAAAUUUAACAUGUUAUAUAUGGGCUUUGAUUAAGAAAAUAUGUAGAAUCUGAAUAUGGUGUUAUUUUACGUGUUAACAGUUUUAAAAAUACUAUCUAGGAUGUAUUACCCGUCUUUCUUUCGUAGCGGUACCGAUUCGGAUUGUAGAUGAACAUCUCAGCGAAAUCAGAAUUACAGACGAAAUUGAAGAUUACUUGACCAUUUCUUUGUACGUAUUAAAUCUACAUGCAAACCGUAUUUAAAUAGAAGACAUGUGAAAUCUUGAACUGCGUUUUUAGGCUAAGAUCAUCUUUGUUUGAAUCGUAGCCACCAAUACUCAAAUUUUAUAAAUCACUUUUUGUAAAAUUAGAGUAUGUGGUAUUUUUUUUCCCGUUGCAACGCAUGAACCCUUUUGCUAUAAUAUUAAGGAAGGAAUUGUUUCUUGGAAGGUCGGGUAAUAAAACUUCCAACUUGUUCCACAUAAAAGAUACAAAACUCACUUUAUUAAUAUAUAAAUUGGAACGGAAAAUUUAAAAGGAAAAUACAUUAACCCUUGGCCAACCACUCAACAUUUUCGCAUGUUACAGUUGUGGCCGUCCUCCACACAUCUCAUCAUAUAGAGAUGCUGUUGGGGAUGCCCCUGGCAGUGAGCCCCUCAGCCUUGCCCGUGUGGUCGGAGGUGUUGGGGUAGAGCAGCAUGUAUGGAAAGUGGACCGGUCCAUUGCGGUUCUUGAGCUGGGGGUUUCCGUUCAAGGCGACCACCUCGCUCUCGAUGCCCUCCAGCCUCGUGCCGAACCGCUUGAACGCCUCCAGCGCCUUGGCAUCCGACGUCCACUCCGGCGUGUCACGCUGCCCGAGGUAAAUCUCGUCGGAGGAGUGCUUGGAUAGGAUCUCCAGCAGAGAAAUGCCAAUGAUGGCCUGCAGCUGGUUGGUGAUGGUGCGGAUGAACACCUUUUCUGGAUCGCGGGCCAGCAAUGCGUACUCCUCGGUGCCUGGCUCCGGCAUCGGACGACGGCUCGCUGAUGGCUUGUUGGGGUGGUAACCGGCGUACGGGUACUGCCCGAAGUUGACGGCGGCGUGCAGCGCCGACCCGGUCCAGAUGAUGGUGGUGCAGACCUUGACCAGCUCCGCCACCGUCUUCAUCUCCGGCCACCAUGCCGCGUCCUUGAGGUCGCCGUGGCCGACCUCGCGAACCUCCUUCCACCAGGCUUGCAGCUCCACGUCGCCCUGGAGCACGCUGUCGCUGGUGUAGUAGAUGGCCACGUACUCUGUCACCCAGUCCUCAAUCGCGUGCCAGAUGGCCAGCCCGUCCACUGCGUACGGGUAGUCCUCAAGCAGCAGUCGCACCUUGUGUGGGCUCGAUGGGUCGCGCACCGCCAUGCCCCUGCAUUUCAUGAUUAACACCAACAUACCAUGUCAUGUCACUGACUGAAGAACGGUUCUUCUCAUACUAGCUAGUAGCUCUAUAGCAUAUAGUAGAACAACUUAAACUUAAUUACCUCUUGAUUAGAUCGUCUGGCAGGGCCUGCUCGUUGAGGUUCCAGUCCUUGUAGGUGACGGACGACAUCUCCAUGGCGUACUUGCGCUGGAAGACGGUGAGCUCGAUGAUCCCGCCGGCGUUGACGAGCAGCUCGCGCGCCCGUGAGUUGAUGUUCAUCGUGUCACGGUAGUGCGGGUGCAGGAGCUUGUGCACCGGGUGCAUCACGCUCAGCUGCCGGUUCGUGGCGAUGAUGAAAGGCUCCAUCACGGCGUGCGUGUUGAGCCAGUGGCUGACCAGCUGGUGAUAGCCGUAGUCGUUCACGCAGACGUACGCCUUGGCGAGCUGCCAUAUCCAGGCCUCGACGCCGGUGGACGCCGGAGUGUAGACGGUGCUCUUGGCGGUGGUGAGGCCACCCUGGACCAGAGGCGUGCUGAGCUCGAUGGCGACCGGCGCCAGCGUGCCGUCACCUUUGAGGAAGAGCAGAGUCCUGGUGGCGUAGAGGAAGGUGUCGUCGAGGUUGUUGAGCCUGACGAGGUAUGGCAUCAUGUGGUCGUGGUGGUCGAGGAUGUAGAGCCUGUUGCUGGCGACUGCCUGCUGCGCGGUGAGGCCCUCCAGGCUCUUCCCGAUCUGCGCCUCGGUGAUGGUGCUGGUGUGGUCGCCGUACUGGCUGGGAUCAAGACUACUCUUGGGAGGGAACUCCUAUAAAAUGCAAUGGAAUUUACCAUUAGUUUAUUUUAUUUUAUAGCACUAAUAAUCUGGCCGAUGGAUGGAUAUAUGAAUCGUUGGGCCUCACCGUGACACGGGUGAUCAUCAUCGGGUUGACGCCGGCGAGAAUCUCCCUUGCAAACUCCGCGUCGGUCAUCCAUGCUUUCUCGUCCUCUGCACGUGCGUAAAUAAUCCAAAUUAUAUUUAUCUUUCUUCCAACGCUUGAUGACUACUCCCUCUGUUCCAUAAUAUUUGUUGUUGGGGAGAACUAAACUAGUUCUUCCCAACAACAAAUAUUAUGCUACAGAGGGAGUAGUUGACUACUGGUAGUAGGUUAGAAUAAUAAUAAUAAUAACUAACGAAAAUAUAAGUAAGUAGGUAUGAGGAGUACGUUUGAUGACUUGUGGCUUGGGGGGCUUGAGGAGGAAGUCGCCGCCCUUGGGGAUGAGGUCCUUGACGAGCUGGAGCGGGAAGCGCUUGCGCAUCUCCUGGAGAGCCGGGAUGUCGGGCAGCUUGAUGCCACCCUCGUAGAGUUUGAGGAUGUCGGCGAAGGAGUCGAACUCGCCGGGGGAGAGGUCGACGUAGGUGCGGAUGGCCGGUAUGAUCCCGUCCACCAGCGCCUUGAGCGAGUAGCCGAGGAAGUCCGACUGCUUGAGAUGCCCGAACAGCUCGUCCCGCGGCACGUAGAUGCUCUGCACCAGCGGCAGAAGCCGGCUCUCGCGAUCGGGGUCUGCAUGCAAGGAUUUCGAUCCGUAAGUUCAAAGCAAACUGCUACUCCUACGUACGUAGUAACAAUUGCAAGGAUUUCGAUCCGUAAGUUCAAAGCAAACUGCUACUCCUAGGUACGUAGUAACAAUUGAGAAAAAGAUAGAGAAAUGAACGCACUGGUUUGUGAGAGCUUGCGGCCGGUGCGGCAGCGGCGAGGGUAGGGGAACUCCUUGGAGCCGCCGAGGAUCUGCCGGGACUCGCCGAGGUCGUGGUAGACGUCGUAGCGGUAGACGCGGUCGUGCGCCGCGUAGGGCCCCUGCUGGUCGUCCCCCCUCAGGUUCCGGAGCUCGUCGUCGCGGUACGGCUUCAGUGCCGGCGGCAUCUUGCUGGGCAGGUACGUCUGCGCAAGCACGCACGCACAUGUAUACAUACAUGCUUAAAUAAGUGGACACAGGCAAAAACGUAGUACGUUGCAUCCAUUAAUUGGUGGCGAUUGAAGAACUAGCUAGCUAGCUCACAUCGUUGGCGAAGAAGACGCGGUUGUAGCGGUACUUGGACUGUGGGUACACCCAUGAGUUGGCGACGAAGACGACCUUGCCGUGGCCGGGGACGUUGUCGAGGGUGAUGGUCUUGAGGAAGAACUCGGAGGCGUGGUUGUUCUUGACGAUGAUGGCGCCGGGCACGCCCAGCUUGUCCACAGCCCAGUCGAAGGUGACGCCGAACUUGUUCUCGCCCACCGUGAUGAACGGCAGGGUCGUGAUCCACUGCUCCAGGCCCGCCUCCGCGCCCACCUUACCGCGGCCACCGUUGUCUAGCCACGUAAUCAAACGAGCUAGUCAGAAACUGCAAUGCAAGGUACUAUAAUGGUGAAAGGGAGAGCUCGAUGGUGCUCACUGGAGUCGACGUUGGUGGAGCUGAUGAGCUGGCAGGUGACGCCGCGGCCGAGGAACUCGGUGAUGCCGUCAAUCACGGUGGCGCCCAAGUCGUUGAAGUCGAGCGCAUUCUUGCGCGUCAGCACCACCGACCCCUUGAGCCGGGUCUUGCUCCCGCCCCCGGUAAGCCCGCCGAUGAGGUCCAGACCGCCGCCAAACAUCUUGAUGUUAUCCUAGCUUCUGUUAAGAUGGAAAAACAGUUGUGUGCAGUGGUAGUGUGCCUUGCUGAGCUGCGGAUGGUGUGAGACUUCUCGACGAGCAACCGGGAUAUUUAUAGAUGGACCCAGGGGAGGGUGUGUGCUUAAUUAGCGUUGGCUACCGCGUAAACGGUGCGUUGGGUGGGUACCUGUAAAAUCGAUUUGAUUAUUAGGGGAUCAGGAUAAGAUCUUAAUCGUACACACUGUAGUAACCAUGUCAAUGCAUGGUUUGUUCCAAAGGUUUAUUCCAAAGUGUGUAUGAUGGAUAUAACGAAUUUAAUGUGUGUGUGUAAUGGAUUUAGCUCAUUGAGUGAAACAAAUGUCAUUUACAUGGAUGGAUUAAAGUUUAGGGCAUCUCAUAGCCAAGUAAAAAAGUUUAGCCCCUCAAAAUAUUUAUUUUUUUAGGCCAACUCCACCGUGCGACCCCAUCAUGUACGGCCCCGUCCGUUUGAGAUAAAAGGGACAAACCGGUCGGCCCAGCGCGAGACGGCCGGCACCCAUCUUGUUCGUUUUGUGUCCGGGACGACCCAUUUCGAACGCAAAUUUGCGCGGGGUUUGGGUCGCGGCGGACAGCAAACGGACGCGCGCUCGUCCGCGUCGGGGCCGCGUGGCUCGCGGUCACCUACCUUCCACCCACCCACAUCAAUGCGCACGAGCGGCCGGACCCGCCUGUCAUUGGCCCAGGGAACGGUCGCAGUCCUUCUUAAAUGGGGAAGUCGUGGACCGGUCGUCGUCCACACUUCCCACUACACCCCGCGGCCUCCUCGAAAUCCGACACCCCAAACCCUAGCCUCGAACUCGCCGGCCAGCCGCCUCACAGCCAUGGGGCUCUGGAACUACGGCCGCAAGGGGAAGCACGACCGCGAGGCUGGCUCCUCGUCGGGACGCCGCCGCGGCUCCGUCAAAGAGGAGGCCGCAUCACCCCCGCUUCGGGCCUCCGUGAUUGCUCCCUUCACCAUCGGCCCUAGGCCCGCCGACCAGCGCAACCGGCAGUACCUCAGCGUUGAGGUAUGCCGGCGCUACUGGGAGACGAGGAUGUCGGUCCCGUGGAGCGACGUCCUCGUCCCGAACAACUGGCAUCUCUCCGCCGGCCGGGUCCUGAUCCCGCCGGUGCCGACGAGCGGCCGUGCGCGCCGCGACGAGAUCGAGCGCCGACGCCGCCUCCUCCCCGACGACCUCCACUACGACGACAGGUACGCCCCCGAUUUCGUGCUCUAGGACACGUGGCUCAGGGACGAGCACGACGGGCGGCGCGCCUCGUACUUCGCCGGCACGGUGUCGGGGCCGCGGCAGCCACGUCGGGAGGUGCGGGGGCGUCCACGGGUGCACGGCAUCACGCCCACGCCAUCGCCUUCCCCGUCUCCUUCACCACCUCCACCUCCUCGCAUGACAGCGCAGGAGGAGGCCCGUCUCAUGCUGCGUGUCAUGGAGGACUCCAUGAUGACGCAUGAUGAACGCCAAUGGUCGGGCCUAGAGGACGCAAUGGCCCUCUCUGCGGCCGGCGACGUCGCCAUCCCCGAGCUGAUGGAGGCGGAGGAUGUGAUGAAGGACGCCCCGGUGGCCGCGUUCCACCCAGAUCUGGUGGGCUAGCAGUGGAGCUGGUUGUGCACGACUCCGGAGAUGGCGCACGCGGUGGGGGGCGUGAACUGGUGCCCCACGCCACCGCGGUCACCGGAGUGGGACGUCUCGCCACAGGAGGAGGUGCUGCACGCACCUGACAGCUUCCAGCCCGCCCCCGCGCACCAUGGACCGCCGGCCCACCUCUGGACGCUGCCGGCCUACGUCGACCUCGUCAGCGACGACGACCACACCGGCAGCCACUGAAGACGGCGACGGCCACCGCAUCAACGGGCGUUUUUUUAUGUUAAUUAUGUCAACGACGGUGAAACUGGACCGUUUUGUGACCGUGACCCUUAAUUUUAUGUUUUAAGUUUUUUUAACUGUGUUUAUUUACUUUUUAUUUAAGUUUUUCUAUUUUUUUAAUCACGUCUAACACGGACAUGAUUUUGGGUGCGGCCGCGCGGUGGGCACACGCACAACCCAACAGACAGAAGUGGGCAUGGGUGAACCCAUUGACGCCCCAAACGGACAAAAUCCAGCCAAACCGGACGUCUGUUUGGGGUCGUAUGGUGGAGUUGGCCUUAGGAUAGAAAAACGAUUUCAGGGAUUAAAUGCAUCUAUAACCAGACCUUGCAAAUCCGCUCCCUCAAAUACUUGAGGACGCGUCCGCGGACAUUGGCCGGUCACACCUUAAAUUUCCCUCUCCACAUCCAACUUUCUCAUAUUUCAUCUCUCAUAUCUAUACAAUAGCAUGCAAAAUAUAUUAUAAGUACUAACUAAUGUAUUAAGCUUCUUCCUCGUCGAAGAUGGCAUGCGUCGGAGCGUGAGCCGUCGUCUCAGCUGCCUCCUCCGCUGCCUGCGCCUCCUCCUGCGCCACCCGCUCUNNNNNNNNNNNNNNNNNNNNNNNNNUCCUCCAUCCGACGCCUGGCCACUGCAGCCGACUCCGAGCGAAUGGAGUUGAGGAUGACCAGCUGCUCCGGCCACGGAUUGACGACCGUCGGUGCCUCCUCCGACGCCUCCUCCUCCGGCGCCCGUGGCUCCUCCUCCACCCCCCUCCUCGAAAUCCACUCCGGUUCCAGAGGUAGCCGUGCUUCCCUUCGAAUUUGAACCUGCUGAAGGAGGAAGAGUCGGUGCCGGUGUCCGUAUCAAAACCCCAUUCAUGAAGAGAGAUGAACUCGGGUUGGAUUUGUUUUCGCGAAGAAAACAGAUUCGAAUUUCGUUGUACUCAUCGGAUGUUUCCCGAAGUUUGGACAGUUGGAUCGGGCUAAAAUUUUGUGGGGUGAUCAAUAUUGAAAUUCCGCACCCUAUAAACGGUGGGAUUUUCCAACGCACGUCCGAACUGGAUACUGCCCCCCUCGCCCUAAGCUCAUCUAGAUUCCUGUCCAGAUUCAACAAGGCUCCGGUAUAUUGGAGAUCGCCGGAGAUUCCUCCAUCAGAACGCGACAACAUUUUACAGGGUUGUUGUAGAUACAAUUCCACAUAAUUUCACUAAAGCAAUCGUCAAAGCGAUGCUCGAGGAAACGGGGACAACGAAAACAAAUUCGUUGUCCACAAGAAAAAACUGCAAUCAAUACGGAGAGUAGUUGUACCGCGACGUCAGCCCGACAUGCGGGCCCAACUUGUUGGUUUGACUGCUUUCAUGAGGUUAUCUGACAAUCGGUGCUCCGCGUUAUGCAUUAGGCUUAUUUUUAAUGAUUUUUUGUGAUCCCGACUUAAAUCUGAUGCUAACCUGUUACCUUAGUCUCAAAUAUGAUGUUUUUGGUAAAUAACUCACAUGCUGUUAGCGUUGGCUACUGUAAGCAGUUGAACUUUGGGGCCAGUGGGGCACAGUUUGAUAGUACUACAAAUUGAUUAGAUCAUCAGGGGAUCAAGAUAAGAUCGUGAUUAUAUACAGCUGAGUAGCUGCAUCAGGAGAGCGUGGGCCGAUUAAUUAUAAUUAGAGUGUGGAUCACGGGAGCCCUUGUCUCGAUCGUGGGAGAGAUGUGCAUUUUUUUUAUUAAAAACAGGGCAUCAAACCUGGGUUCCUGCAGGUAUGUGCACUUCACGCGCCCUCACCAACCCGGGCCGCAUACACGUGGAAUGGCCUCCGCAUUGUCGACCUUCCAGAUGUAGCCCGUUCGAGCCAGUAUACGUAGUAUCAAAUCGAAAUGGCAAACGUGAUCGCAGUACGCGCGCACCAUCUCUAUGCGCGGGACAUGGGACCAGCAGCGUCAUGUCCGAGGAGCUCCCACGAGAUUCGCGCGCCUCGCGUGCGCUCAAGAUCACCACCGACGCUGAGCACGCCGCGGCGACUACGGAGCCGGAUCCUCUGACACUGCGAAGAAAAGUUACGGUGCUACACUACACUUUCUAACAGCGCCUAUAAUCGGACACUGUAAAUAUGACCUUUCAAAAUAUUUAUAGAUGUGUCUGAUCAUUAACUGGACGUGUCUCUAUUUGUCCAUUCGUACAAAAAAAAAUUUAUAGAACCGAUCACUUGCACGUGAUUGAUGAAGAGCAAGAAAAGAAAGAAACAAAUGCAUAAAAAAAAGAAAAAAAUGGUUCAAGGUGUGGUUGUGUCCUAUGUGACGGACGGACCCGGCGCGUUUGGGCGCGUCCGUAUACCCUCAUAUCCUUUCCAUAUUUGAGACGAAUAUGAGGGUUUGCGGAUAGGCCGAACAUAUAAAAACGAUAUGAUGUGUGUGGCUGAAUCAUUUUUUUCCUUCUCUCUCAUGUCCACUCACUCAUCGGGCACGUCCAUAAAUGUAUGAGGCUCAUUUAAGGGAUUCGGUUGUAGAUGCUCUGACUUCUAUUCUUUAUUUUAAUCUAAAAAUAAUUUUAUUUCACCAUCAAUUUAUCUGUAUGUUAUUACUAUAAAUAUACACAGUAGAUCGGUAAUUUACAAAUUAGUUGAAGUCACUUUAACCUUUAUUAUAUGGAUUGCAAGAAGCCAAGUUACCAUACUUUAGCCUUUCUAACUUUUCUUCUCAAUGUUAGAAGAUCGGGUUUCGACGAUGACAGCUAGGAGAGGCAAAAUUCCAUGUUUUCAUCCUAGGGUUAGUUUAGCCAAAUAUGACCCGUUUGGUAAAAAAUUCGAGAUGUGGCCAUUUUUCUUAUCCGGGAAGCUCGACGAUAGGAUCACAUAGCCUACUGUCACGGUUUUUGGCGGUAGGUAACUAAUCCAAGUCAUCUGCCCUAAACGGUUGUUGUCCCCUUCCGACCCACCCUAUCGUCGUUGAUCCUGGCGGUAGCCUGUCUUGCUCUACCGCCAGGGUCUCCGGUGAUAGGCUGUGGACAGCUAUAAGCCAUGGAGCCGCCCGCCCCACCCUCAUCUCCCCUCUUAGCCGCUUGAAGAAUAGAGACUUCUUCCUCUCGCCCUGUGUCUCAUCUCCUCCACUCCCUUCCUCUGCUCUUCUUCAUUUCUUCACCGUUUUGCAGAUCGAGAUGGCUACGAAACAAGAAAAGUAAGCUCCUCCGAUCCCUCCAAUUAGUUUUAGUCAAACGACUCGGAGACAGGGUACAGCUGGGGUCUUCCGGCCUCGUCUAUCUACACUGUUCGGUAAGAGAAUGUCUCAAUUUUUACAUACAUGUUCAUCAGCAUACCCGACCACCCUACACCAAAAUGAGCAUGAUACACAACACCAUUUUCAUUUGGCAAUUUACAAACACCUCCGGGCAAAAACAUAUUUCGGAUGUUCCACAACUAAACCAAACCAGCCCCCCACAUAGGCACAACAACACUCUACUAAAUCUACCCUAAUCCCAUGACACAAUGGAGCCAGCCAGAGCACACUCAAGCCCGCACACGAUAAACCAUGGUGACCAUGGUUUUCGCAGGCUCUCCACACGCUCUAGCAUGCAUAGUGAGUCGUUCAUCGUCGUCUAUCGCCCACGACCGGUCUUCAUGCGUCUCAGCUAACCAUAGCGCGCCGCGCCUCAGGCCUUUCCGAGUCCUUUCCCCCACCCAUGUGCUUCUCCCCUCGCUCUCGACCCUAGCUACUGGCCACCGCAACGACGGUCGGAACCACCUCUCUCCCCUCGUCUGUUUAUGGUUGACUUUUUGCCCCUUUGUACGCCACGUCGCUCCACGAUGCACCGACCGUGCCCGGGGCCAUCGCAACUGACAACCAAGUAAGCACGGGCCCCGACAAUGGCCGCCCGUGGUCAAACUUAUCUGCCACCAUCGUAGAGCAUAUCCACACCCCUCGACCCGGCUAUAAAAGGAGCACCGAUGGACUCACUAACACUCGAAACAUCCUCCUCCGUCUUUCGUGGACCCCCCCUGCAUAGUCACACAAACCUUCGAGCUCCUCUUUUCCACCUACGACCGCCACGACCGCCGCCACGUCCUUGAAGAAAUUCACACACAGCCACCUCGCUCUCUCCACCAUGGCUCACCAGAGGACCCCCUCUAAUACCAUGGACCUAUCCCGUGCGCCAAUUUUGACGGGGAAGGACCGUCGUCCAUGUGAGCGACACCGUGCUCGUCUCCGGACGCCCCAGGGAACAAGAUGACCACUUUCACAUGCGGCGCAACACUAGGAAUUCGAGACGAUCAUUAAUGGAGGCUCUCUGGCCUCGAUAAACCGGAAAUGGACGAGACACGAGUUCCUCCCCUCGGUCUCCCAUGCAGCCAGAGGUUCCUAUACCAUAGAACGACUGUUGUCGUCACCAAAAUAAGUCGCUGGCUCGCCGCAAUCGUCGCUUUCAUAUCGAUGACGUCCAGACUUUGUUGAUAACGUGCGAAAAGUCUUCAUACACUUGCCCUUAAGGACUAACGCCUUGGGUCCUAGUCGUCGUUAUUGAGCGCUUGAAUCAAUCUAGGCCCUGUUUGGAACCACAAUAGAUAAUGAUAAUCUAGAUUAUGAAGAUAAAUUAUAUAAUUUGGUUUAUAAAAAUAAUCAGGCAGACGUGUUUGAAGGCCGGAUUAUAUAAACUGUAAUCCAGGUUUUAUAUUGCAUAAUUACCUAUCUGCCUUUUGUUCAGGGGUGGACCCAAGUACUCAAAAUUUUAUAAAAACUGAAUUAUAUAAUCUGAGUGGUUCCAAUGAGGGCCCUAAUAAACCUAUUACUGUCUCUGUCCAAGUAUAUAGGAGGCGUAGUUUUAGAUUAUCAAUUUAACUAUCUAAAUAUAUAUUAUAUACGAUAAAAAUUACAUUUUUAAAAACUACAUCGCCGCAUGAAUCUAUUGAUAUAUUAUUUAUUACAUAUAAUACAUAAGUAGUUAAUAUAACAAUUUAAAACUACGCGCAUGCCAUAUACAUCCAGACGGGGAGUACUAAAUAUCAUCAUCGCGUAUUUGUGAAAAGGGUAGUUUGUGAAGAUACAAACAUGGCAUCAACUGGAAAGCAUAAUAUACAUCAAUCAUUCCGAUUGAUGCUAUAUUAUUUGGCUGCUAUAUAUUCGUCAGCCCCUCAUGAUUGUGAUAACUGGUACAUGUAUGCCUAAGUGCCUUGUCAGCACACAGUGGUCCGUGACUGUAUCAAUAAGUGACAGAAAGUUUAUGCAAUAGCCCACGUGAAUGGGAUGGUUUGGAGACAGGGCCGCUGUCCAAGCAUGUUUGUGCAGUUGAGCUGCUCGCUUACUCCAUUAACGAUGCUUGCGGUCGAGUAGAGUAUGGUUAUCCGUCUUCCCACCAACCGCCGCGGCGAGGUGUCGUCGCUCGCUCGUCCUUACGUGCACCCACGCGUCACAUCAAAAAUAUUUACUCGCUUUUAAGUGAUUGGAUCGUGACCCGUGAGCACGGUGAGCUUAGCUUGUGCUGCUCGAUGGUCACUCAAGAGUUUAAAAUGCAUCGGCCAAAUCUUGUUUAACUAGAGAACAUAGCUAUCAAUGGAGAAAUACAACUUGCCUUCACAAGCUUUCCUUAGGAUCCCAGCCAAUGGUGCCCAGCACCGAGGCAUCAUGCUCUCUAUCUUGAACCUUAGCGGUGGAUUAAGUGGACCUCUCCGUUUCUUCUCGUGCACUUUGUCUUUAAAAUGAAAUAAUCUUGCUACCGUUAUGUUUUUCUUCCCAUCCCCUGUCUCCUUCCCUGACUCCGAGUACAUACAUAAGAGCGAUCGUGUUUCUAAUUUGUUUAUCUUUGUAGCCAUAUUUUUUAUUUUUCUUCUCAUAUGUCCAAUGACUUGCAGAUGAUUGAUGAAGAUAAAAAGAAAGAAAAAAAAUGAAUGAAUAAAGAAAAAAAUGAUUCGGGACAAGGUCUAUAUGGCGGACUGACCGGGCGUGUCCGGAUGCGUCCGUAAGCCCUCGUAUCCUCUCCAUUUUUAAGAUGGAUAUGAGGUUUCGCGGACAGACCAGACGUAUAGGCAUGAUUUGAGGGGUCCGGUUAGAUAACUUUUUUCUUCCCUCUCAUGUUCGGUCACUGACCGAACGCGUCGAUAAACAUAUGCGGAAUUAUUUGAGACGUUCAGCUGUAGAUGCUUUAAUACAAUAAUAUAGAAGAAAUAUUCUCACAAAAUAAUAAUAAUAUAGAAAAUGAAAUAAUGUAAAUCGGGGUACGGAAUGCUUUAGUUUCUCAAUGGUAUAGUCCUAACGGUGAUGGUGAUUAAACUCCAGCAGAAAAUAGUCCACGGGAUGCACGCAUUUGUCGGGGCUCUGGAGAGUGUAUCAUUAUCUAUAUUCCUGCGCAUCCUCGCAUGUUCAUCACAUAAUGCCAACGGAAAAUUAAUAGUCUCUCCGUUCUUAAAUAUAUGUCUUUUUAGAGGUUUAAUUAAUGAACUAUAUACGGAUGUAUCUAGACAUAUUUUAAAGUAUAGAUUAAUUCAUUUUGCUCCGUAUGUAGACACCUAAUGAAAUAUCUUAAAAUACUUAUAUUUAGGUAUGGAGGGAGUAUAACUUAUCUUUUCAGACCCCAAACGCGCAAACAAAUCUGCCGUUGUGUGCGUGUGUAUCAGGCGUACUAACUUGAGUCCUGACUACUUCCUCUGUUCCUAUAAAUCAUUUUAGAAAUUUCAUUAUUGAAUUAUGUAUGGAUGUAUAUAAACAUAUUUUUACACUAAUUUGCUUUGUAUGUAGUCUUUUAUUAAAAUGUCUAAAAAACUUAUAUUUUAAAACGAAGGGAGUAUAAGCCAAUCUCCUCUUCGCCGUACUUGAGUCGUUAGGGCAUCCUUCAAGGUAGACCGUAAACCGUUCGCAUCCGUUUGAACGNNNNNNNNNNNNNNNNNNNNNNNNNNNNNNNNNNNNNNNNNNNNNNNNNNNGACGCUCUUUGGACUACGAGAAUCAUUUAAUAUGUGUUUGUAUCGAUUCGUGAUUCGUGAGACGGUUCAUACGUGAUUUUUCUCGCAAACCAAAGGCAAAAUUGAAGAAGGUUUACGUGACACUAGACGCGAGAAACAUCGCUAUCCGCCACCUUGGCCUAUCCAAAAUCCAUCCCAAACCCCACGACUCCAUCCUUCUCAGUUUCUCUUCUCCCGUCGCUCCACCACCCCGGCCACCACGCCACAUCCAUGCUGUUUCUUCUUCGUGUGAGUUGAACAUCUAUCCCCCGACCGUCCCGUCAGGUACCAUCAUCUAUUAUUAUUCUCACCAUGCCCGGCAACUGGUCGAUGACUCGCUACAGCUGAAAGAGUUGCCCCUUCUUUUUCUAGUAAUAAAUUCUGAUGCCGCCGCAACUCUAAAAUUUGAGAAAAUGGGUGAUCCUAUCCAACUUUGGGUACAUAAUGUGGUCACAUUUAAAAAGUUUAUUCAAAUGCAUCAAUAUAUCCAGCAUCGACCAACUCACAAGUAGUUGAAUAAGAUCUGGUUGAGAAUCAAUAUGGUAAAAGGGGGCACCAAUGUUGGAAUGUACUAUUUAAACCUUUUUAAAUUUAAACUAGUGAUGCAUGCAGCUAUUUGAAGGUAUGUACCCAUUGCAUGCAGCUAUUUAUUUGAUCAUGCGGAGUUGAAAAAAAUAGGGAAAGCCAAAUGUAUGUGCCUAACAUUGAAUGCCGUCCUUCCGUAUCCGUGUUCACGCACUAACCCCCUUGUUCACAUACGAAUGCGAAAGAAAUUUUACGGGUUACCGUUGAAGACGUCCUUAAGAUGUUUCUUUAGUUGGAUGUUACAUCCAAUUGCUUCAUCGUGUAUUUCAGAAUGAAAACUGGAAUUGGGCCGUCGCUCAUUCUGACAAUGUUUGAAAAAUGACAUGACUCAUAACUAAUAGGAGCGCAUAUACAAUCAGACUUGGCAAGUACGACACUUUAAAUGGGAAAAGCCUAUUCGGCACAUUUCUUCAGCAUUUGGGCUGCCCCAUUUUCGGUUACCACCGGUUUUGGAAGUUUUUUUUUUCGUUUCUUAUCUUUUUUUAUUUAUAUUUUCUGUUUAUGUUUCUUUAUGUUUCUUUUUCCUAAGGUUAUUUUUUAAAACUAAGUUCAUGUUAGAAAAUUAUUCUUGAAAUUUUAAAAAUGUUCUUGUUUUUAUAAAAUGUUCUAAAUUUCUAAUAAUUGCCGUUUUUCAAAACUAUUCAUAAUUUCUUUUUUUUGGUUUUUAUUGUUUCCCGUAUUUUNNNNNNNNNNNNNNNNNNNNNNNNNNNNNNNNNNNNNNNNNNNNNNNNNNNNNNNNNNNNNNNNNNNNNNNNNNNNNNNNNNNNNNNNNNNNNNNNNNNNNNNNNNNNNNNNNNNNNNNNNNNNNNNNNNNNNNNNNNNNNNNNNNNNNNNNNNNNNNNNNNNNNNNNNNNNNNNNNNNNNNNNNNNNNNNNNNNNNNNNNNNNNNNNNNNNNNNNNNNNNNNNNNNNNNNNNNNNNNNNNNNNNNNNNNNNNNNNNNNNNNNNNNNNNNNNNNNNNNNNNNNNNNNNNNNNNNNNNNNNNNNNNNNNNNNNNNNNNNNNNNNNNNNNNNNNNNNNNNNNNNNNNNNNNNNNNNNNNNNNNNNNNNNNNNNNNNNNNNNNNNNNNNNNNNNNNNNNNNNNNNNNNNNNNNNNNNNNNNNNNNNNNNNNNNNNNNNNNNNNNNNNNNNNNNNNNNNNNNNNNNNNNNNNNNNNNNNNNNNNNNNNNNNNNNNNNNNNNNNNNNNNNNNNNNNNNNNNNNNNNNNNNNNNNNNNNNNNNNNNNNNNNNNNNNNNNNNNNNNNNNNNNNNNNNNNNNNNNNNNNNNNNNNNNNNNNNNNNNNNNNNNNNNNNNNNNNNNNNNNNNNNNNNNNNNNNNNNNNNNNNNNNNNNNNNNNNNNNNNNNNNNNNNNNNNNNNNNNNNNNNNNNNNNNNNNNNNNNNNNNNNNNNNNNNNNNNNNNNNNNNNNNNNNNNNNNNNNNNNNNNNNNNNNNNNNNNNNNNNNNNNNNNNNNNNNAAAUUCCAGAACAUUUUUUUAAUUGGGAGCAAAAUUUGAAAACAAGAACAUGUUUACGAAAUUCUGAAUAAAUAUUUAAUAUUUUCAAACAAAACAAACGUGAAAAGGAAAAAAAGAAAGAGCAAAUAAAAUAAAAUAAAAUAGAAAAAAUAAAAGAAAUGAGAGAAAAGGCGAAAUAGAAUGGGCCGGCCUAGGUCAGCUGCCCCUUUGUCAAACCUCAGCUGUUUGACGCACAAAGCGUUACAUAGGAACUCCCCCUUAAAUGUCCGUGGACACGUCCAGACCGUGUCCUGCGGAUGCUAACCAAUUACGUCUUAUAUUUGGUGCUAUGUAUAUGAAUACCUCAUAUUUCAUCCCAAAAGUUUCCAUACGUACACCAUGUUAGUCUAACGUAAGUUUCAUCGUCGAAGAUUUCCACUAUGUUCGUGCCGGAUGUCGGACGUUGGGUAAAUGGGCGCAUAUGAGGGCUCCGGUUCCUCCUCCUCAUAAUAAUCCAUGGUCGUGGCCAUCUCGUCGACGUCCACGACAUGCUCCACCUCCGCCUCAUGUAGUCGACAUCGUUUGGCCUUUGUCGUUGAUUUCGACAGGAGGGAAUCGAGGAUCACCUCAUGCUCCGCGUGCAGAUCCGCGUCCCCAAUGUACCCGAUGUCCUCCUCAUCAUCCACCUCUUUCUCCUCAUCCCCCUCCUCCUGCUCCUCCUCCUCCACGUCCUCGUGCUCUUCCUCCUCCUUUUCUAAACUACCGCAUCCGGAGAUAGCCCCAUGGCUAUCCAGGAUUCGCCUUGCCAGGACCUACUUAUGGAGCUGUAGCCGACGCUCCGACAUUAGAUAAGUUGCACGAUGGAGUGGGGGCAUAGCUACUGGCGAAAACUGGCAGACGACGAGUUUUAAGUGGCACAUGACAAGUGGAAAGUGGCGGCGGCAGAUGCAAAGGGAAAAUGCCGACGGUCGGCUUAAAUAGCCGGGUUAGAGCACUAUGCGGCCCACCAAAGCGGUGCCACGCGACCACGAAGGAGACGUGUGUCGGACCGUUGGGUUUUCGGACAAUUCCGUGUGGGUCCCCAUCAUCAGUGUGACAUGGCGAACGUGUCCGAACGCCUCCAUAUUCACCCUAGAUUUGGGCUGCAUGUGAGGGAUGCUCGUCAGGCCGGGCAUUUGAGGCCCGCUUAAGGAUCCCGUCUAGCUCUUUUUUAUGACCGAUUAGUGACCGGUCCAUUCCUUCGGACGUUUAAGCCAGGUUUGGGACGUCGAGUUGUAGAUGCUCCAUCGUCUCAAAAAACUAUAGAUGCUCUAAGUUGGGGCAAAAUCACGCCAUGGUGUAGCAUCAAACAGUGAAGAUUGAGGGUCCCAUAAGUGGAAAAAAAUGUGAGGUCUCCUUUAACCUAGCUUGUUUGGCCUGGCCAAGGAAUUUCCGUAGCUCCGCUAUUAGAGCAUCUCUAGUCAUUGGAGCCCCUAAGAGCAUGACCAAACCAAAAAAAGUUUGUGUCUUGGGGGGGGGGGGGUCAAAUGCUUUAAUCGGCGAUAAUAUGCGUACAUCUUCCCAGUCACACCCCCAUCCCAAUCAAAAGUUUGUGAAGAAAAAUGAUGAAGUGGCCAAAAAGGACAGGUGAAAAGACGUGAAUCGCCGAAACUUUUGCCGGCACCCCUAAAAGCCCCCAGCGCGCCGGGUUUCGCCUCGGUAUGCCAGCACAAUUUUGAUGUCCUCACGGGCGCUGGGGGCGUGGCUGGACCGUUUUUCUGUCUAAAAACACCCCAGAGCCUAAUACUGAACCUAAAAAGGUGUCCUGACGGCGCGGCUGAAGUUGCUCUUAAUCGCAUCAAACAGUGAAGGGUGAAGAUUCAGCGUAUCAUCAAACUGAUGUCUGGCAUAGUAAAACGUUGGCGUUUAUAACAAAGCGCAUGUAUACUUCACAGACAUCCCCAAUGUACAUCACUGAGAGUUCAUGAUAGAUACCCAAAAAAUCAAUGUUCCUCAACAUUUCUGAGAUGCAAACACAGAUACAUUUUAGCUAUACCUUCAGACCUCACCAUCUGAUCUAUCCAUCCAGUUCAAGUGUUGUAGUUGCUACGACAUCCGAGAGGAGGCAAGCUGUUAAUUAAUAAGGUCAUGCAUGGCAUUCCAAUUUGUAAAAAUAAGCACAUUAUUUCAGUGAUGGAGUGAUGAUAGAGAUAGGGAAACACUUCUCUGAAAUGCUACAAUUUACAAAUUGCAACAAACAAUUAAGCACUUUGCGAUACUGAAAGGAACCUCGGCUUACUUUCUUUUGAUUCUUUGAUGUUGUCUUGGCUCGGUCGCAAAUAUUGAGAAACUUGGUUUUCCGAUUCAUGUAAAUCCAAAACUCAUCAAAGAUUCAUGAAACUUGGUCUCGUGUCAUGACAAGGGUACACAUAUGUCGUGGUAAAUAAUUGUUCAACUUGGACAUGUUCUAGCACAAAGUCUCUUACAAACCAAAGCUUGUCAAAAGAAGGUUUGUGAUUUCGAUAUGGAACAUUCUGCAUGUCAUAUCUAUGGGUGAAACGACAUCGGAUGCCUUUUCUCUCCUCGUUUUUUAUAGAAACAAAAUAGACAAAUAGGUGUGAAGUGCAAAAAUAUGAAUAAAUUAAAGGAUCAUCUCGCUUUUUAAUAUAUUUAUUGAGUUUUUUGUGUAUUUAAUAUGCAUAAUUCAAACUUGAUCUACAAUCACAAGGUCCAAUGCAUCAAAACUAGUUUAAAAAUCAUAUAUAUGCCCCUGGAUGCAUGUGUUAUGUCCCACGCAAGAAAUGACAAUGAAUUUCAAACAUCUCAUCAUCUUGUCUCGACGACAAACAUAAAAAAAUGGUUUUUUAAAUUUUUAUAAAUUCAAAACUCGUCACAAAUCCAUGAAACUUGGCAUGAUGUCAAGACAAGGCACACAUAUGUCGUGGUAAAAAAAUAACAACUUGGACAUGUUUUGACACAAGCCUCUUAGAAACCGGAGCUUUUCACAAUAAGCGACGUGGUUCCGGUAAAGAACAUGCAUGUCUUAUCUCGUGAAACGACAUCCGAUGCAUCUUCUCUCUUUUUUCCUCUGAAAACAAGGUAAACUAAUUGGCGUGUAAUGUAAAAAUAUGAAAUUAUUAAGAAUUCGUUGGCUUUUUAUACAUUAAUUGAGUUCUAAGUGCAUUUAAUGUACAUAAUUCAAAUUUGAACUACAGUCACAAGAUCUAUGUUGUGCAGGGCCUCGCCAUGUAGCACAAGUAUAUUGUGGUAUUUUUCGUGUCCAUUUUAAAAAAAGACGCAAAUAUUUAAUAGACAACAAAGUCAUUUUGGAAACAAAAGGUUGUCACGUUUUCAACGCAAACGGACGUAUUAUUUAUAAGUCGUUGACGUUCUAUUGACCAUUUAUGUGUUGCCACGCGUCACGCGCUGUAUUGGCUAUGAGGUUGCAUGCAGACAGGUGUUUAAGUACACGGGAGAAGUGCGAGCAGUCCUCCGCGUGCUCAUGAGGAGGCGUGUCCUUUUACCAUAAUUGCAAACGUUUCAGAUUGAAUACGUGUAUGCAGACCGAAGGCAAUGGUUCCUUCGCUACUUAGCCAAACCAAAAUUUGGCGCGAAGGAUUUUUUCGUUGCGUCAUCGCAAACGUUUGCGUACGAUGACCCGUAUGGUUAGUACAUACAAUGAGUAUAGAUUUGCAUAUGUUCUAUUGGGUAAACCGUCAAUUGUCAACUUGAAAACAUUGGCAUUUGUCGAUCUAGUAAAAUUGUAACAUCAUUAUAACACUAUCAUUUGUCAAAUUCCAGAGGAACAAAAUCACUAUUACGGUGCAAUUUUGCAAUUGAAAUUGAGAAUAGAUAGAUUUCAUUCAUAUAUUAAGAAGUGGUCUUUGUACAAAACAGUUCAACUCAGUAACUGAACCGAAUAAACUUUUCCCCAAUUGUUACCAACCACAUACUGAGAUAGCUAGUUUAACUAUAUAUACUAACCACUUUAAAGUAUGUGGUACAGUUUAACUAUAUUUAUAGUUAGAUAAACUGGACAAAAUAGCACAUAAAUACUACUAGUACUAUGGAGAAACUUCGUAGUACUUCCAGCAGCCUCUCCUCUGCCAAGCGCGUUCAGUAAGAGACAGGAAGAGGAGCCUAUCGACGAGUUGGAGGAUUCGAAUCCGUCGCCUACCACUGCUGCCCUCCGCCGCUCCUGACCCGCCUAUUCGAAGCGGCAGAACUCGGUGUAGAUCUCUUCAUUUAGCGCUACCGCAGCGGCGUGUGCUGCACCCACGGCGGCGGUGAGCCUCUUUACGUGCUCGACCUGGCACUCCUCUGAUACGCCCAUUUUGCAUCAUGCUUUCAUGUUGAUAUUUAUUGCUUUAUGGGCUGUUAUUACACUUCACGGUACAAUAAUUAUGCCUUUUCUCUCUUAUUUUGCAAGGUUUACAUGAAGAGGGAGAAUGCCGGCAGCUGAAAUUCUGGCCUGAAAAAGGAGCAAGUUUGAGAUACCUGUUCUGCGCAACUCCAAAAUCCGUGAAAAUCAACGAGGAUUUAUUUUGGAAUUUAUAAAAAAUACUGGGCCGAAGAAGUACCAGAGGGGAGCCAGCAGGAGGCCACAAGCCUGCUAGCCGAGGCCUACCCCCCUGGCCGCGCCUAUGGGGCUUGUGUGCUCCCUGCUGGCCCUCUGGCUCCCCUCUUUUGCUAUAAGGAGGGUUUCGUUCCGAAAAAAAAAAUCAAGAGGAGGCUUUCGGGAGGAAUCGCCGCCGCCACGAGGCGGAACUUGAGCAGAACCAAUCUAAAGCUCUAGCAGGGUCGUCCUGCCGGGGAAACUUCCCUCCCGGAGGGGGAAAUCGUCGCCAUCGUCAUCACCAACACUCCUCUCAUCGGAGGGGGCUCAUCACCAUCAACAUCUUCAUGAGCACCAUCUCAUCUCCAAACCCUAGUUCAUCUCUUGUAACCAAUCUCCGUCUCGCGACUCCGAUUGGUACUUGUAAGGUUGCUAGUAGUGUUAAUUACUCUUUGUAGUUGAUGCUAGUUGGAUUACUCGGUGGAAGAUUAUAUGUUCAGAUCCUUGAUGCUACUCAUUACCUCUCUGGUCAUGAAUAUGAUUAUGCUUUGUGAGUAGUCACUUUUGUUCCUGAGGACAUGGGAUAAGUCAUGCUAUAAGUAGUCAUGUGAAUUUGUUAUUCGUUCGAUACUUUGAUGCGUUGUAUGUUGUUUUUCCUCUAGUGGUGUUAUGUGAACGUCGACUACAUAACACUUCACCAUUAUUUGGGCCUAGAGGAAGGCAUUGAGAAGUAGUAACUAGAUGCUGGGUUGCUAGAGUGACAGAAGCUUAAACCCUAGUUUAUGCGUUACUUCGUAAGGGGCUGAUUUGGAUCCACUAGUUUAAUGCUAUGGUCAGACUUUGUCUUAAUUCUUCUUUCAUAGUUGCGGAUGCUUGCGAGAGGGGUUAAUCAUAAGUGGGAUGCUUGUCCAAGUAAGGGCAGUACCCAAGAGCCGGUCCCCCCACAUAUCAAACUAUCAAAGUAGCGAACGCGAAUCAUAUGAACAUGAUGAAAACUAGCUUGACAGAAAUUCCCGUGUGUCUUCGGGAGCACUUUACCUCCUAUAAGAGUUUGUCCAGGCUUGUCCCUUGCUACUAAAGGGAUUGGGCCACUUUGCUGCACCGUUGUUACUUUUGUUACUUGCUACUUGCUGCGAAUCAUCUUACCACACAACUAUCUGUUACCGAUAAUUUGUCAGAUCCUUCUGCUCCUCGUUGGGUUCAACACUCUUACUUAUCAAAAGGACUAUGAUAGAUCCCCUAUACUUGUGGGUCAUCAAGACUCUUUUCUCGCGCCGUUGCCGGGGAGUGAAGCGCCUUUGGUAAGUGGAGUUUGGUCAGGAAACAUUUAUAUAGUGUGCUGAAAUUUAUUGUCACUUGUCACUAUGGAAACUAAUCCUCUGAGGAGCUUGUUCGGGGUAUCUUCACCUCGAACGGAAGCACAAAGAGUUUCUCCUCAACCCGCUGCACCUACUGAAAAUAUUUGCUAUGAAUUUCCUUCGGGUAUGCUUGAGAAACUAUUGGCUAAUCCUUUUACAGGAGAUGGAACAUCACAUCCCGACUUGCAUCUAAUCUAUGUAGAUGAAGUUUGUGGUUUAUUUAAGUUUGUAGGUUUGCCCGAGGAUGAGGUCAAGAAGAAGGUCUUUCUCUUAUAUUUGAGGGAUAAAGCAUUGACAUGGUAUAGGCUAUGUGAUGAUACUGGAUCAUGGAACUAUAACCGAUUGAAAUUGGAAUUUCGUCAAAGAGAAAGCAUCGCUCAAGCUUGGGGGAGGCUUAAAUCAAUGUUAUAUUCAUGCCCCAACCAUGAGCUCUCGAGAGAAAUUAUCAUUCAGAACUUUUAUGCUCGGCUUUCUCAUGAUGAUCGCACCAUGCUUAACACUUCUUCUACCGGUUCUUUUAUGAAGAGAGAUAUUGACUUCAAGUGGAAUUUAUUGGAAAGAAUUAAACGCAACUCUGAAGAUUGGGAGUUUGAUGAAGGUAAGGAGUCAGGUAUGAAUUGCAAGUUUGAUUAGGCUAAAUCCUUUGUCGAAACAAAUACCUUUUGUGAUUUUAGCGCUAAAUAUGGACUUGACUCUGAGAUAGUAGCUUCAUUGUGUGAAUCAUUUGCUGCUCAUAUUGAUCUCCCUAAAAAGAAUUGGUUUAAAUAUCAUUCUCCCUUAGAAGUCAAUGUAGUUAAACCCAAUCUAGUUGAAGAGAAAGUCAUUGCUUAUAAUGAUCCUAUUGUUCCCAGUGCUUACAUUGAGAAAAUACCUUUCCCUGUUAGGAUAAAGGAUCAUUCUAAAGUUUCAACUGUGAUACGUAGGGGCUACAUUAGAACACCUACGCCCACUGAGCAAAUUAGAGUCGAACCUAGCAUUGCUAUUAUCAAAGAUCUCCUGUCCGACAAUGUUGAUGGCCAUGAUAUUCACUUCUGUGAAGAUGCUGCUAGAAUUGCUAAACCACAUGCUAGAGACAAACAUAGGCCUGUUGUUGGCACGCCUAUUGUUUCUGUUAAGAUAGGAGAUCAUUGUUAUCAUGGUUUAUGUGACGUGGGUGCUAGUGUUAGUGCAAUACCUCAAUCCUUAUAUGAUGAAAUUAAAGAUGAGAUUGCACCUGUUGAGAUGGAACCUAUUGAUGUCACUAUUCAGCUUGCCAAUAGAGAUACUAUCUGCCCUGUGGGAAUUGUUAGAGAUGUUGAAGUCUUGUGUGGUAAAACGAAGUAUCCUGCUGAUUUCCUCGUUCUUGCUACCACACAAGAUAGCUUUUGUCCCAUCAUAUUUGGAAGACCUUUCCUCAAUACCGUCAAUGCUCAUAUUGACUGUGAGAAGCAAACUGUCACUGUUGGCUUUGAAGGUGUGUCACAUGAGUUCAAUUUCUCCAAGUUUGGUAGACAACCUCAUGAAAAAGAGUUGCCUAGUAAGGAUGAAAUUAUUGCCCUAGCUUCUAUUGUUGUGCCCCCUACUGAUCCUUUAGAGCAAUACUUGCUUGAGCAUGAAAAUGAUAUGCAUAUGGAUGAAAGGGAUGAGAUAGAUAGAGUUAUCUUUGAAUAAUAUCCUAUCCUUAAGAAUAAUUUGCCUGUUGAACUGCUUGGAGAACCACCCCCACCAAAGGGUGAUCCUGUGUUCGAGCUUAAACAGUUGCCUGAUACUCUUAAGUAUGCUUAUCUUGAUGAAAAAGAGAUAUAUCCUGUUAUUAUUAGUGACAGCCUCUCAGAGCAUGAAGAAAAUAAGUUACUAAAAACUCUAAGGAAGCACCGCGCUGCUACUGGAUAUACUCUUGAUGAUCUUAUGGGCAUUACUCCCACUCUAUGCUAGCACAAGAUUAAAACAGAUCCUGAUUCCAAACCAGUUGUUGAUCAUCAACGGAGAUUAAAUCCUAAGAUGAAAGAGGUAGUAAGAAAAGAAAUACUAAAGCUCCUGGAAGCAGGUAUUAUCUAUCCUGUUGCUCAUAGUGAUUGGGUGAGUCCGGUGCAUUGCGUCCCUAAGAAGGGAGGUAUCACCGUUGUCCCUAAUGAUAAGGAUGAAUUGAUCCCACAGAGGAUUAUUACUGGCUAUAGGAUGGUGAUUGAUUUUAGGAAGUCGAAUAAAGCCACUAGGAAAGAUCAUUACCCUUUGCCUUUUAUCGACCAAAUGCUAGAAAGACUCUCUAAACACACACACUUCUGCUUUCUAGAUGGUUAUUCUGGUUUCUCCCAAAUACUAGUUGCACAAUCUGAUCAGGAGAAAACCACUUUCACCUUCCCUUUCAGUACCUUUUCUUAUAGCCGUAUGCCCUUUGGCUUAUGUAAUGCACCUGCCACCUUUCAAAGAUGUAUGAUGGCUAUAUUCUCUGACUUUUGUGAAACGAUUGUUGAGGUUUUCAUGAAUGACUUCUCCGUUUACGGGUCUUCUUUUGAUGAUUGCCUCAGCAACCUUGAUCAAGUCUUGCAGAGGUGUAAGGACACCAAUCUUGUCUUGAAUUGGGAGAAGUGCCACUUUAUGGUUAAUGAAGGCAUCAUCUUAGGACAUAAAAUUUCUGAAAGAGGUAUUGAAGUCGAUAAGGCUAAGGUGGAUGCGAUCGAGAAAAUGCCAUGCCCCACAGAUAUCAAAGGUAUAAGAAGUUUCCUUGGUCAUGCUGGUUUCUAUAGAAGGUUCAUUAAAGACUUCUCUGAGAUUUCUAGGCCUCUUACCAAUCUCUUGCAAAAGGAUAUUCCUUUUGCUUUUGACGAUGAUUGUGAGGAAGCCUUCGAAAUACUUAAGAAGGCCUUGAUAACUGUGCCUAUUGUUCAACUACCUGAUUGGAAUUUACCUUUUGAAAUCAUGUGUGAUGCUAGUGAUUAUGCUUUUGGCGCUGUUCUAGGACAAAGAGUUGAUAAGAAGUUGAAUGUUAUUCACUAUGCUAGUAAAACUCUAGACAGUGCCCAGAGAAACUAUGCUACUACGGAAAAGGAAUUUUUAGCAGCCGUGUUUGCAUGUGAAAAGUUCAGAUCUUACAUAGUUGAUUGCAAAGUCACUAUUCACACUGAUCACGCUGCUAUUAAGUACCUCGUGGAAAAAUAAAUACGCUAAACCUAGACUUAUCAGAUGGGUUCUCUCGCUACAAGAAUUUGAUUUGCAUGUUGUCGACAGGAAGGGUGCUGAGAACCCCGUAGCAGAUAACUUGUCUAGGUUGGAGAAUGUUCUUGAUGACCCACAACCUAUUGAUGAUAGCUUUCCUGAUGAGCAACUGAAUGUCAUCAAUACUUCACGUAGUACACCGUGGUAUGCUGAUUAUGCAAAUUAUAUCAUUGCCAAAUAUAUACCACCUAGUUUCACUUACCAGCAAAAGAAGAAAGUCUUCUUUGAUUUGAGACAUUACUUUUGGGAUGAUCCUCACCUUUAUAAGGAAGGAGUAGAUGGUGUUAUUAGACGUUGUGUACCUGAACAUGAACAGGGACAAAUCCUACAGAAGUGUCACUCCGAGGCCUACGGAGGACACCAUGCGGGAGAUAGAACUGCACACAAGGUAUUGCAAUCAGGUUUCUAUUGGCCCACUCUCUUCAAGGAUGCUCGUAAGUUUGUCUUGUCUUGUGACGAAUGUCAAAGAAUAGGUAAUAUCGGUAAACGUCAGGAAAUGCCUAUGAAUUAUUCACUUGUCAUUGAACCAUUUGAUGUUUGGGGUUUUGAUUAUAUGGGACCUUUUCCGAAAUCCAAUGGGUAUACUCAUAUCCUAGUUGAUGUUGAUUAUGUUACUAAGUGGAUAGAAGCUAUCCCAACUAGUAGUGCUGAUCACAACACUUCUAUCAGGAUGCUUAAAGAAGUUAUUUUCCCUAGAUUUGGAGUCCCUACAUAUCUAAUGACCGACAGCGGUUCACAUUUUAUUCAUGGUGCUUUCCGUAAAACGCUUGUUAAGUACGAUGUCAAUCGUAGAAUUGCAUCUGCCUAUUGAUGUCUUGUGCUUCCCCAGCAAUGGCGCCAGAAAAAUGCUGACUCCGUAACAGCAGACCUUCCCUUGCAACGCCACUAGAAGAAUGCUGCUAGCACUCUCUGGCAAUCGAAACUAGAAGAAUGUUGUUGACGGCCCACCAGCGCGUGGGAUCGUAGCAGUUUUCGAGGGUAGAGUAUUCGACCCAAAUUUGUUGAUUCGCCAAACAGGAGGUGAGAGAAUACUCUCAAGUAUUAGCAGCUGAAUGUGUCAGAUUCAACCACACCUGAAAGAUUAGUAUCUGCAAGCAAAGUAGUAACAGCAAAGUAGCGAGUAACGGCAGUGGCAAGGAACAACAGUAGUGACAGCAGUAGCAAGUAGCAAUAGUAGCAAGCGACAGUAGUAGCAACCGUAGCAGCAGAGCAAGACAAGUAACGGCAGUAGCAACAGUAGUAACAGCAGCAGAGCAAAACAAGUAACAGCAGCAGUAGGACAAACUCGUAGGCAAUGGGUCGGUGAUUUGUUUGGAUGAUAUUCAUCAUGCAACAGUUAUAACACAGAGAGAUAUGUGGCUAGCUCCCGUUCGUCAAUGUGAUGUAGGCAUGCAUUCCGUGUGUCGUCAUACGUGCUUAGGAAAAAGAACUUGCAUGACAUGUAUUGUCCAUCCCUCCCGUGGCAGCGGGGUCCAAAAGGAAACUACGGGAUAUUAAGGUUCUCCUUUUAAUAAAGAACCGGACCAACGCAUUAGCACUUGGUGAACACAUGAACUCCUCAAACUAUGGUCAUCACCGGGAGUGGUUCCGGUUAUUGUCACUCCGGGGUUGUCGGAUCAUAACACAUAGUAGGUAACUACAACUUGCAAGAUCGGAUCUAAAACACACAUAUAUUGGUGACAACAUAAUAAUUUCAGAUCUGAAAUCAUGGCACUCGGGCCCUAGUGACAAGCAUUAAGCAUGGAAAAGUAGUAGCAACAUCAAUCUCAGAACAUAGUGGAUACUAGGGAUCAAUCCCCAUCAAAACUAACUCGAUUACAUGAUAGAUCUCAUCCUACUCAUCACCGCCCAGCGAGCUUACGAAUAGAUUACUCACGAACGACGAAGAACUUCAUGGAAUUGGAGAGGGAAGAAGGUUGAUGAUGACGAUGGCGACGAUUUCCCCUCUCCGGAGCCCAAGACGGACUCCAGAUCUGCCCUCCAGAUGAAGAACAGGUUGUGGCGGCGCCUCCAUUUCGCAAACGCGACGAAAACUUCUCUUUUUAUUUUUUCUGGGACGAAAGGGAACUUAUAGACCCGAGGUUCGGGGCGGCAGAGCUGUGUGGGGCCCACAAGCCUGCCCACCGUCACCAAGGGGGUGGCAGAGCCAGGGCUUGUGGCCCACUGGCCCACCCCCUCAGGUGGAACUUGGCGCAGAUAUUUUUCAUAUUUUCCAAAAAUGCUCCCCGUAAAUUUUCACGACGUUUGGAGAACUUUGAUUUCUGCACAAAAAUAACACCAAGGCAAUUGUGCUGAAAACAGCGUCAGUCCAGGUUAGUUCCAUUCAAAUCAUGCAAAUUAGAGUCCAAAACAAGGGCAAAAGAGUUUGGAAAAGUAGAUACGAUGGAGACGUAUCACCUACCAUCCUCAGUCCAGUGGUCAAGUAGAGCUAAAUAAUAGAGAGAUUAAACUAAUUCUGCAAAAGACUGUCAAUAGGUCUAGAAAGAAUUGGUCUAAGAAGCUCGAUGAUGCACUGUGGGCUUAUAGAACUGCUUAUAAGAAUCCCAUGGGCAUGUCUCCAUACAAAAUGCUUUACGGUAAAGCAUGCCAUUUACCUCUUGAGCUAGAGCAUAAGGCUUAUUGGGCAAUAAAAGAGCUCAACUUUAAUUUCAAACUUCCUGGUGAGAAGAGGUUAUUUGACAUUAGCUCGCUUGAUGAAUGGAGAGCUCAGGCGUAUAAAAAUGCCAAGUUGUUCAAAGAAAAGGUUAAGAGGUGGCAUGAUGAAAGGAUACAAAAACGCGAGUUCAAUGUAGGUGAUUAUGUCUUGCUAUAUAAUUCUUGUUUAAGAUUUUUUGCAGGCAAGUUUCUCUCUAAAUGGGAAGGUCCUUACAUUGUUCCGGUGCCAUCAAGACCAACAACACGGAAGGUAAUUUUCCAAGAGUGGUAAAUGGGCACAGAAUCAAGCAUUAUAUCUCAGGUACUCCGAUAAUGUUGAAAGCAAUAUUAUCAAUACCAUAACUCCGGAGGAGUACCUAAGGGAUAUUUAUCAUCCUGUUUGAGACUCCAAAAACGGAGAGGUAUGUGAUUCGGUAAGUAAACCGACUCCAAAACUUUUCAAGUAGGACUUUUUCUCUGUGUUGGAAUUUUUAGAAAAAUAGAAAAAUUUAAAGUAGUCCGAAAAGCGCACGAGGAGGCGAUAAGCCUGCCAGGCGCGGGCCACCCCCUGGCCGCACCUAGGGGCUUGUGACCACCUCGUGUGCCUCCCGGACUCCGUUUUCUUGUGGAGUACUCCUUCUGGUCGGGAAAAAAUCAUUAUAUAUUCUCUCGAAAGGUCUGACCCUCGUAUCACGGAAUUUUCCUCUGUUUUCGUUUCGAGCCUGUUUUCUGCCGUAGAUUUAGAGCAAGAUGUCGUCUCAGGAAUCUGUGGGGGAGAACGAUCUCCCUUAAGUCUAUGAAGAAGUAAAUGUUGAUCUGAAAAGAAUGGAGGUCAUGGAGGCCAAGGAAAGGCUACCUAAAAAACUAAGCGCAAACGUAAGGAGAAGAAUCCGGCGUUGGACAAAGGGCAAUCUGUGCUCAACAAGGAAGAGGCUGAGGAAGUGGAUUUUCUUCAACCAUACCUCCACCUUUUACCUCCAUCCUUGAUCGAGCUCUUGAGGUUAUGUGAAAUAACUCGUGUUCAUAAUACUUAUCUCACUCGUGAAGUUGUUUUGCUGGAGAAACAUAUCACAGAGCUCCAAGGUAUAAACCAAAGAUUGAUGGCCCUCUUGGAAUCAAAGGACAAAACAACUCCACCACCAUCACCUCCGAAGGAAGACAACUAAGCACGGGGAUGGGCAAUCCCCUUAGCUUGUGCUAAGCUUGGGGGAGUUGCCCCGGUAUCGUAUCACCAUCAUAUCUUUUGCCUUUACCUUUGUUUUAGUUUUCCUUUUCAGGUUUGUUUUUCUCUAGUAGUUUAAAAGUCUUAGUGUUUUAGUCUUGAGUUUUGCUUUGUGUCACCCCGAUGUAUUCUUGCUCGUGAGCCUCUUAGUGCGGCAAUAUAAAGUGACAUUCCUCCGCACUAAGAGGACACGCAUCCAAACCUCAAAAGUGCAUGACAACCUCCCCCAAGCAAAACUAAGAGGCUCACGAGCAAGAAUACAUCGGGGGUGACACAAAACAAAACUCAAGACUAAAACACUAAGACUUUUAAACUACUAGAUAAAAAGAAAACUAAAAAGGAAAACUAAAACAAAGGUAAAGGCAAAAGAUGUGAUGGUGAUACGAUACCGGGGCAACUCCCCCAAGCUUGGCACAAACCAAGGGGAUUGUCCAUACCAAUGCUCAGUUGUCUUCCUUUGGUGGUGAUGGUGGAGUUGUUGCAACAUGAGUUUGAUCCUCCGUAUUCCAAGGCAUAGGUGCUCAACCAUGGAAAGAUGAACGAGUCUCCGGAAUCCUCAAAUCUGCAUCCAACCUUAUUGAUUUAAAUAUAUACUCAUACUCACAGUUUUGGUUCUGCAGGUCAUAGAUCUGGCCCUGGAGUUGAUCAACCCUGUCAUAGAGCCUGGAGAGGUGCUUCCCAAUGUCAUUGGCAUCAAUCGUGUGCUUGUUGGUGAACUUCAUGAUCAUGAUGUGGUUGGCGGUGAGUCCCCGCUCCACCAUCCCUUGGCACUUGAAGACUUGUUGCUCCAUUGCUUCGAGGCUCGUCUCCAUGCUUCCGGUCUUCUUAGGCCCCUCAACAUCACGGAUGUGCAACAUCCCCUCACGCAUCUCGAUAGAUUGAGGGUGUUGCAGCACUUCCGUGAGGUAGGGAUUGAUGACCUUCUCGAAGAUCUUGUCCUUUGGAGCUUUUGGGGAAGUCAUGGCGAUCUAGAUCUGCAACAGAAACAGGCUCGAAACGAAAAACAGAGGAAAUCUGCGUGAUGCAGGGGUCAGACCAAACGGAAGUAUAUAUAAUGAUUAUUUCCAGACCAGAAGGAGUACCCCGCACGAAAACGGAGUCCGGGAGGCGCACGAGGUGGCCACAAGCCCUCACGGAGCGGCCAGGGGGUGGGCCCGCGCCGUGCAGGCUUGUCGCCUCCUCGCGCACUUUCCGGACUACUUUCAAUUUUUGUAUUUUUUCAAAUAUUCCAAAACGGAGAAAAUUUUCUAUGGGGAACGUUUAGACUCUGUUUUCUUACCGAAUCUCAUACCUCUACGUUUUCGGAGUCUGAAACAGGCUGAUAAAUGUCCCUUAGGUAUUCUUUCGGAGUUAUGGUAUUGAUGAUAUUGCUUUCAACAUUUAUGGGAGUACCUGAGAUAUAAUGCUUGAUUCUCUGCCAAUUUACCACUCUCGGACAAUUACCUUCCAUGUUGUUGAUCUUGAUAGCACCGAAUGAUAUACUUCCUCAACAACAUAGGGACCUUCCCAUUUAGAGAGAAGCUUGCCUGCAAAGAAUCUUAAACGAGAGUUAUAUAGCAAGACAUAAUCACCUACAUUGAACUCACGCAUUUGUAUCCUCUUAUCAUGCCACCUAUUAACCUUCUCUUUGAAAAGCCUGGCAUUCUCAUAUGCCCGAGUUCUCCACUCAUCAAGCGAGGUAAUGUCAAAUAACCUCUUCUCACCGGCAAGUUUGAAAUCAAAGUUGAGUUCUUUAAUUGCCCAAUAAGCUUUAUGCUCUAGCUCAAGAGGUGAGUGACAUGCUUUCCCAUACACCAUUUUGUACGGUGACAUGCCCAUGGGAUUCUUAUAGGCAGUUCUAUAAGCCCACAAUGCAUCAUCGAGCUUAUUAGACCAAUUCUUUCUAGACCUGUUGAUAGUCUUAUGCAGAAUCAGUUUAAUCUCUCUAUUACUUAGCUCUACUUGACCACUGGACCGAGGGUGAUAGAGAGACACAAUUCUAUGGUUGACAUCGUACUUAGCAAGCGUUUUACGGAAAGCACCAUGAAUGAAGUGUGAACCACCGUCGGUCAUUAGAUAUCUAGGGACUCCAAAUCUAGAGAAGAUAACUUCUUUCAGCAUCUUGAUAGAGGUGUUAUGAUCAGCACUACUAGUGGGGAUAGCUUCUACCCACUUAGUGACAUAAUCAACAACAACUAGGAUAUGCGUAUACCCAUUUGAUUUUGGAAAAGGUCCCAUAUAAUCAAAGCCCCAAACAUCAUAUGGUUCAAUGACAAGUGAAUAGUUCAUAGGCAUUUCCUGACGUUUGCUAAUAUUACCUAUUCUUUGAAAUUCGUCACACGACAAGACAAACUUACAUGCAUCCUUGAAGAGAGUGGGCCAAUAGAAACCUGAUUGCAAUACCUUGUGUGCAGUUCUAUCUCUCGCAUGGUGUCCUCCGUAGGCCUCGGAGUGACACUUCUGUAGGAUCUGUCCCUGUUCAUGUUCAGGUACACAACGUCUAAUAACGCCAUCUACUCCUUCCUUAUAAAGGUGAGGAUCAUCCCAAAAGUAGUGUGUCAAGUCAAAGAAGAAUUUCUUCUUUUGCUGGUACGUGAAACUAGGUGGUAUAUAUUUGGCGACGAUAUAGUUUGCAUAAUCAGCAUACCACGGUGCACUACGUGAAGUAUUGAUGACAUUCAAUUGCUCAUCGGGAAAGCUAUCAUCAAUGGGUUGUGGGUCAUCAAGAACGUUCUCCAACCUAGACAAGUUAUCUGCUACUAGGUUAUCAGCACCCUUUCCGUCGACAACGUGCAAAUCAAAUUCUUGUAGCAAGAGAACCCAUCUGAUAAGUCUAGGUUUAGCGUCUUUCUUCUCCAUGAGGUACUUAAUAGAAGCAUGAUCAGUGUGAAUAGUGACUUUGGAAUCAACUAUGUAAGACCUGAACUUUUCACAUGCAAACACGACUGCUAAAAAUUCCUUCUCCGUAGUGGCAUAGUUUCUUUGGGCAGUGUCUAGAGUUUUACUAGCGUAGUGAAUAACAUUCAACUUCUUAUCAACUCUUUGCCCUAGAACAGCACCAACAGCAUAACACAUGAUCUCAAAAGGCAAGUUCCAAUCAGGUGGUUGAACAAUAGGUGCAGUUAUCAAAUCCCUCUUAAGUAUUUCGAAGGCUUCCUCACAAUCAUCGUCAAAGACAAAAGGAAUAUCCUUUUGCAAGAGAUUGGUAAGAUGAUUAGAAAUCUUAGAGAAGUCUUUAAUGAACCUUCUAUAGAAACCAGCAGGACCAAGGAAACUUCUUAUUCCUCUGAUAUCUGUGGGGUAUGGCAUUUUCUCGAUUGCAUCAACCUUAGCCUUAUCGACUUCAAUACCUCUUUCAGAAAUUGUAUGUCCUAAGACGAUGCCUUCAUGAACCAUAAAGUGGCACUUCUCCCAAUUCAAGACAAGAUUGGUUUCUUUACAUCUCUUCAAGACUCGAUCAAGGUUGCUGAGGCAAUCAUCAAAGGAAGACCCGUAAACAGAGAAGUCAUCCAUGAAAACCUCGACAAUCUUUUCACUAAAGUCAGAGAAUAUAGCGAUCAUACAUCUUUUAAAGGUGGCAGGUGCAUUACAUAAGCCAAAAGGCAUACGUCUAUAAGCAAAGGUACCAAAAGGGCAGGUGAAAGUGGUCUUCUCCUAAUCAUAUUGCGCAACUAGUAUUUGGGAGAAACCAGAAUAACCGUCUAGAAAGAAGAAGUGUGUGUGUUUGGAUAGUCUUUCUAGCAUUUGGUCGAUAAAAGGCACAGGGUAAUGAUCUUUCCUAGUGUCCUUAUUCAACUUCCUAAAAUCAAUCACCAUCCUAUAGCCAGUAAUAAUCCUCUGUGGGCUCAACUCAUCCUUAUCAUUAGGGACAACAGUGAUGCCUCCCUUCUUAGGAACGCAAUGCACCGGACUCACCCAAUCUCUAUGAGCAACAUGAUAGAUAAUACCCGCUUCCAGGAGCUUUAGUAUUUCUUUUCUUACUACUUCUUUCAUCUUAGGAUUCAAUCUCCUUUGAUGAUCAGCAACUGGUUUGAAAUCAGGAUCAGUUUUGAUCUUGUGCUGGCAUAGAGUGGGACUAAUGCCCUUAAGAUCAUCAAGAGUAUAUCCUAUAGCAGCACGGUGCUUCCUCAGAGUUUUUAGUAACUUCUUUUCUUCCUGUUCUGAGAGGCUAGCACUAAUAAUAACAUGAUAUAUCUCCUUUUCAUCAAGAUAGGCAUACUUAAGAGUAUCAGGCAACUGUUUAAGCUCGAACACAGGUGGAUCUCCAAGCAGUUCAAUAGGCAAGUUAUUCUUAAGGAUGGGAUAUUGUUCUAAGACAACUCUAUCUAUUUCAUCCCUUUCAUCCAUAUGCAUAUCAUUUUCAUGCUUAAGCAAGUAUUGCUCUAAGGGAUCAGUAGGAGGCACGGCAAUAGAGGUUAAGGCAAUAGUUUCAUCCCUGCUAGGCGACUCCUUUUCAUGAGGUUGUCUACCAAACUUAGAGAAAUUGAACUCAUGUGACACACCUUCAAAGCCAAGAGUGACAGUUUGCUUCUCACAAUCAAUAUGAGCAUUGACGGUAUUGAGAAAAGGUCUACCAAAUAUGAUGGGACAAAAGCUAUCUUAUGCGGUAGCAAGAACGAGGAAAUCAGCAGGAUACUUCGUUUUACCACACAAGACUUCAACAUCCCUAACAAUUCCCACAGGGUAGAUAGUAUCUCUAUUGGCAAGCUGAAUAGUGACAUCUAUAUGUUCUAUCUCAACAGGUGCAAUCUCAUCUUUGACUUCAUCGUAUAAGGAUUGAGGUAUUGCACUAAUACUAGCACCCAAGUCACAUAAAUGAUGAUAGCAGUGAUCUCCUAUCUUAACAGAAACCACAGGCAUGCCAACAACAGGCCUAUGUUUGUCUCUAGCGUGAGGUUUAGCAAUUCUAGCAGCAUCUUCACAAAAGUGAAUAUUAUGUCCGUCAACUUCUUCAGACAGAAGAUCUUUGAUAAUAGCAAUGCUAGGUUCAACUCUAAUUUGCUCAGGGGGUGUAGGUGUUCUAAUAUAGCCUCUACGUAUCACAGUUGAAGCUUUAGAAUGAUCCUUUAUCCUAACAGGGAAAGGUGGUUUCUCAAUGUAAGCACUGGGUACCACAGGAUCAUUAUAGGCAAUGACUUUCUCUUCAACUAGAGUGGGUCUAACUACAUUGACUUCUAAAGGAGGAUGAUUUAAACCACUUCUCUUUGGGAAGAUAAAUAUGAGUAGCAAAGGAUUCACACAAUGAAGCUACUAUCUCAGAGUCAAGUCCAUACUUACCGCUAAAAUCACUAAAGGUAUCUGUCUCAACAAAGGAUUUAACGCAAUCAAACAUGAAAUUUAUACCUGACUCCUUACCUUCUUCAAGCUCCCAAUCUUCAGAGUUGCGUUUAAUUCUCUCCAAUAAAUUCCAUUUGAAGUCAAUAUCUCUCUUCAUAAAAGAACCAGUACAAGAAGUGUCAAGCAUGGUGCGAUCAUCAUGAGAAAGCCGAGCAUAGAAGUUCUGAAUGAUAAUUUCUCUCGAGAGCUCAUGAUUGGGGCAUGAAUAUAACAUUGAUUUAAGCCUCCCCCAAGCUUGAGCGAUGCUUUCUCUGUCACGAGGCCAAAACAUGUAAAUAUAAUUUCGAUCACGAUGUACUAAAUGCAUAGGAUAAAACUUUUGAUGAAAUUCCAAUUUCAACCGAUUGUAGUCCCAUGAUCGAGUAUCAUCACAUAGCCUAUACCAUGUCAAUGCCUUAUCCUUCAAAGAUAAAGGAAAGACCUUCUUCUCGACCUCAUCCUCGGGCACACCUGCAAGCUUAAAUAAACCACAAACUUCAUCUACAUAGAUUAGAUGCAAGUCUGGAUGUGAUGUUCUAUCUCCUGUAAAAGGAUUAGCCAGCAGUUUCUCAAGCAUACCCGAAGGAAAUUCAAAGCAAAUAUUUUCAGUAGGUGCAGCAGGUUGAGGAGCAACUAUUUGUGCUUCCGUUCGAGGUGAAGAUACCUCGAACAAGCCCUCAAAGGAUUAGUAUCCAUAGUGACAAGUGACAAUAAAUUUCAGCACACUAUAUGAAUGUUUCCUUACCAAGUUCCACUUACCAAAGGCGCUCCAUUCCCCGGCAACGGCGCCAAAAAAGAGUCUUGAUGACCCACAAGUAUAGGGGAUCAAUCGUAGUCCUUUCGAUAAGUAAGAAUGUUGAAACCAACGAGGAGCAGAAGGAUCUGACAAGUGGUUUUCAGCAAGGAAAUAUCUGCAAGCACUGAAAUUGUCGGUAACAAGUGAUUGUGUGGUCAGAUGAUUCGUAGCGAGCAACAAGUAACAAAAGUAGCAAUGGUGCAGCAAAGUGGCCCAAUCCCUUUUGUAGCAAGGGACAAGCCUGGACAAAGUCUUAUAGGAGGAAAAACGCUCCCAAGGACACAUGGGAAUUUCUGUCAUGCUAGUUUCAUCAUGUUCAUAUGAUUCGUGUUCGUGACUUUGAUAGUUUGAUAUGUGGGUGGACCGGCGCUUGGGUACUGCCCUUACUUGGACAAGCAUCCCACUUAUGAUUAACCCCUCUCGCAAGCAUACACAACUACGAAAGAAGAAUUAAGACAAAGUCUAACCAUAGCAUUAAACUAGUGGAUCCAAAUCUGCCCCUUACGAAGUAACACAUAAACUAGGGUUUAAGCUUCUGUCACUCUAGCAACCCAUCAUCUACUUACUACUUCCCAAUGCCUUCCUCUAGGCCCAAAUAAUGGUUCAGUGUUAUGUAGUCGAUGUUCACAUAACACCACUAGAGGAAAAAACAACAUACAACACAUCAAAAUACCGAACGAAUACCAAAUUCACAUGACUAUUAUUAGCAUGACUUAUCCCAUGUCCUCAGGAACAAAAGUAACUACUCACAAAGCAUAAUCAUAAUCAUGAUCAGAGGUGUAAUGAGUAGCAUCAAGGAUCUGAACAUAAACUCUUCCACCAAGUAAUCCAACUAGCAUCAACUACAAAGAGUAAUCAACACGACUAGCAACCUUACAAGUACCAAUCGGAGUCGCGAGAUGGAGAUUGGUUACAAGUGAUGAACUAGGGUUUGGAGAUGAGAUGGUGCUGAUGAAGAUGUUGAUGGUGACGAGUCCCCUCCGAUGAGAGGAGUGUUGGUGAUGACGAUGGCGAUGAUUUCCCCCUCCGGGAGGGAAGUUUCCCCGGCAGGAUCGUCCUGCCGGAGCUCUAGAUUGGUUCUGCUAAAGUUCCGCCUCGUGGCGGCGGCGAAAUCACGAAAAAGCUCUCGUCUGAUUUUUUUUCCUGGACGGAACCCUCCAUAUAGCAAAAGAGGGGGGCCAGUGGGCCAGCAGGGUGCCCACAAGCCCCCAUGGCGCGCCCUGGGGGGUGGCCGCACCAUGCAGGCUUGUGGCCACCCCCUGGCGUCCCUCUGGCGCUUCUUCGACCCAGUAUUUUUUAUAUAUUGGGAAAAAAUCUCCGUUGAUUUUCAUGGCGUUUGUAGUUGCGCAGGAUAGGUAUCUCAACUUGCUCCACUUUCAGGCCAGAAUUCCAGUUGCCGGUAUUCUCCCUCUUCAUGUAAACCGUGCAAAAUAAGAGAGAAAAGGCAUAAGAAUAGUACCGUGAAGUGAAAUAACAGCCAAAGAAGCGAUAAAUAUCAACAUGAAAACAUGAUGCAAAAUGGACGUAUCAACCAUCUUGCAGUUAAGCGCUAUAAAAAUUGCCAUGCAGACGUGUCGAAAUUCCAAGCCGUCUAGCACCCACCCAUUUAUUUUUGCGACCAUUUACCUUCAUCUCUUCGAUCUUUCGAUCUUGCCACACAACACAAGAUGCACACCAACAACGACAAAUAAUAGAGAGAAGAUGCACAUCUCUUCAUCACUUCAACCUUCCCGUGCGGAUCCAAUGGCGGCUGCCAGCGCCGAGCGGUAGUUCACCAUUACUGUCAAAGUGGACACCCACAUCAGGAAUACAGACCUCUAAGUGGUGUACACCAAUGACCCGGAUGUUGUGGAGAACUCCAUCAGCAUGCUGGAGUAGCCGCUUGCUGAGGAUGACAAAUACAGAGUGGUCAGUUUCGACCUCGAUUACACCGACGGUCCUGCCGGGCAUGAUCACAUGGUUGUCGUCACCCAGUUGUGCAUGCACCAUCAUGUGCUCGCCUACCACUACUGCCUGGACACAAGGCCUUGCGAGCGUUUCACCAGGUUUCUCAAUAGCCCUGAGUACAUGUUCGCAACGGUGGACACCACCAACGAUCUCAUGGUGCUCAAGAGUUCGGGCUUGUCUUGCGAGAAGCUUGUCAACAUCCAAGGUUAGUAUAGGGUCUGGGGGCGAGCAGAAGAAGUAGAAGAACUCCUUGUUUGACCUUGCCGCAGCCAUCAUCGACCCCUACUAUAGAGACAUGAAGGUUGAGUGCAAAAAGGACAAGUCUGUGUGGCACAAGGCAUGGGUGAAAAAACUGGAUGAAGAACACAUCGAGUACGUGGCCAAGGACACGUACACAAGCUACGAGAUGUACAUGACGAUCGUUGAUAUGAGGAAGUGCCUCCUUCUUGCAGACGGCGAGGGACAAUAACCACGAGGAGAGCACUGGCGGCAACCGUCGUUAGAAGAACUAUAUGAUUUGGUGAUCAUCUACUUCUUAUAAAUUUAUAUUGAGGAAUGUACAUGUGUUGUGUAGUCACUUAUGUAAUUGGAUGUUAAAGUUGGUUAUGCACUAAUAAUGUUGGUGUUCUGUAGACAGAGGGAGAUGUUGUGCAAAAAUAGAAAAUCACAUCUCAUACAAUUGUUUGGUAGAAACCGUCUGCCCACAACACACACAACUUGUGCAGAUGAAUCGUUUGGGUUAUUAAUGGUCUUCCCACACAGACUAAACUACGAAACCCAUCGACGAUGAUUUUAUCAAUCAUACCAGCAAGCGUUUCCAGAACACACAGAGAUUAUUAGUAAAUGACACUUUCGAACAUACGUUGGUAUUGAUUUCAUCAAUCGCAGACAAUUGUUUGGCAGCAACCAUCUGCGCAAAAUAUAGACGACUUAUCGGGAUGACCCAUGUGUGUUAUUAUCGGUAUUCCCACCCAAUUUUGAUGAAUAAACUCUUUGUCGGGUAUCACACACACCUUCUUAUGCUAACUCGUUUGCGUUCUGCUGGAUCAACGCAAACAGUUUAUCCUAGUGAAUUGUAUGUCGUAUUUUGUCAACCGUUUGUGUUAUCUUGUCAACCAUUUGUGUUAUCUUGGCUAAUCAUAAGUAGUUCCUAUGAACCAACUGUAUGCCAUGCAUCACACACACAACUCUUUUUUGAAACAUAUUUGAUGGAUCCGCCAUCGCACACAGUUCAUUUCAUUGGCGACUAUACCGUUUUCGAUUGGUGGAUCGCACACAGUUUCGUCAAAGGGUCUCUGAAUGUAGUGUCGCGUUUGGACCAUCGUAAAGUUGUGCUUCUCCUUGAAUUUGAAAACUUUUGGCCUAUCUUUUGUUUGUCUUAAACUUUUUUGUGUUUCAGCAUAUGCUUUGUGAUUGAUGUUACUAUUUCCUAUCUUCAUGAUAUUCAUAUGAUGAUCAUUCACUCAAGUUUGGUUCAUAUUUUGUGUUAUGUGCAUUGUAAUCUAUUCAGUUCAUUUAUGUGCAGCAUCAAGAUGCAUGUGACAUGGAAGAGUGACACAUGAUCCUUGUGCACUUGUAUUCAAAUGAACAUUUUAAAUAAUGCACAAAUUUAUGGGGGAGAUCUUGCUUAUGACACACUUCUCAAAGCAAUGAUGUUAUACAUUGCAUAUACUUUAUGUCGAAGCUUUGAUCUGUCUGUUGUCAUCAAUUACCUAAAAGGGGUAAAUUGAAAGCACAACUUCUCCCUAGGUGGUUUUGGUAAUUAAUAACAACGUAUAUUUCAUUGGACUAAUGAUUCUAUCAAGUAUAUUUCAGGAAAAGUUCAAUGAAUGGAUUGCCUAGGAUUGUGAGGAGAUCCCUAGAUGCUUGGAACAUCAAUUGGCAAAAGCUUCAAGACUCUACAUUUUAUAUUUAUGUGAGAAAUCACAUUUUGUGUCCAUAGGAAAGCCAAUAGUAUUAAAAGGGGAUGAGGUAUCUAUGAUGUCCUCAUUGCUCAAGUGCUUAAAGAUUAGCCACCAAAAGCCUCAACAUUUCUCACACAAUAUUCUGUCCAAAAUCCUAAAAUAAAAUCCGGUGCCACCGACUUUCCACAAUCGGCCCUACCGAGUUUUCCUUGGACAAAUUACAAAUCCAAACCCUGGCAAUUCGGUGUAACCGAUUUUUUCAUCGGUCCGGCCGAAAAGUGGCAACCAAUUCUCUGGAUUCGAGGUAUUCAACUUCAGAGUUUCCGAGUUUUAUAUCUCAGAGCCACUAAGUCAGUGGAUCUGUCUAGGCCAACUGAAUCAAACUCACCGAGUUGUUAUAUAUCGGUCUCACCUAAAAGCCUAAAGCUAGAUCAUUUUGCUCUAGUAGGUGCAACCGAGUUUUUACUUCAGUUCCACCGAGUUGGGGAAUAAUAUUGUAACAGUUGGAUUUUUGGAGAUGGCUAUAUAUACCCCUCCAUCUCCCUCUCAUUCGCACAAAGAGCACUUAGAACAAGCAAACACUUCCACCAUUCGUUUUCUGAGAGAGAACCGCCAACUCAUGCGUUGAGAUCAAGAUCUUCCACUCCAACCAUAUGAAUCUUGAUUUCUAGCCUAGCCAAGUUGCUUUCCACUCAAUCAAUCUCUUCUACCAAGACAAAUUCUAUGAGAGAGUGAUUGAUUGUUGAGGAGGCUCUUUUGAAGCACAAGAGCAAGGAGUUCAUCAUCCAUACUAAUAACCCACAAGUAUAGGGGAUCGCAACAGUCUUCGCGGGUAGUAUUACACCCUGAUUUAUUGAUUCAGCACAAGGGGAGUCAAAUAAUAUUUAUUUGUCUUAGCAGCUGAGUUGUACGUUCAACCACACCUGAGAUAUCUCUCUGCAGAAAAAAAUUUAGUACCAAAACAAAAUAGUAGUAGUAAUGGUAACAACAACAGUUUUGUAGUGAUUGUAACAGUAGUAGCAGGAAUAAUAACUUAGCAAGAUCCAGUAUAAGAAAAGCGUAGGCAGGUGGACCGGUGAUGGAUAAUGAUUUAGAUGACAUCAAUAUGUAAUAGUUACAGACUAGUGCGAUAUAGAAAUAGCUCCAAUUCAUCAAUGUAAUGUAGGCAUGUAUUCUGUAUAUAGUCAUACGUGCUUGCGAUAGGAACUUGCAUGGCAUCUUUUUUCUAGCGGGACCCAUAAGGAAAUCUAAGGGAUAUUAAGGCCUCCUUUUAAUAGAGAACCAGAACAAAUCAUUAACAUAUGGUGAAUACAUGAACUCCUCAAACUACGGUAAUCACCGGAAAGACUCACAAUUAUUGUCACCUUGGGGUAUGCGGACCAUAACACAUAAUAUGUGCAUUCAACUUGCAAGAUAGGAUCUAAACACUUCCUUAUUAAGAGAAAGCAUAAUAGGACACCUGGGCCCUAGUGACAAGCAUUAAGCACAUCACAGUAAUAGCAACAUAAACCUCAGAACAUAGUGGACACUAGGGAUCAAGCCCUAUCAAAAUAACUUGAUUACAAAAUCAAUCUCACCCAAUCCCAUCACCGUCUAGCAAGCACACAAAGGAAUUACUCACUUCCAGAGGUGAGCAUCAUGGAAUUGUUGAUGAAGAAGAAUUGGUGAUGAUGACGACGGCGAAUCCCCCUCUCCGGAGCCCCAAACAGACUCCACAUCAGCCCUCCCGAGUAAGAACAUGAGGUGGCGGUGGCUCCAUCUUGUAAAACAUGAUGAAAACUUCUUUCUGAUAUUUUGCUCUGUAGUUGUGAAUUUAUAGGACUAGAAUUAGGGUUGGAGAAGCCACAAGGUGGCCCUAAGCCAUGAGGACGCGUCCAACAGGGGUGGGCGCACCCUAUUGGCUUGGCACCAACAGGUGGCCCCCCUCUAGUGAGUCUUCUCUCCAUAAAUAUUCAUAUUUUCCAAAAACAAUCCACAAAAAGUUUGUCCAAUUCCAAGAACUUUUAUUUUUGCACAAAAAUAAGACCAUGACACUUCCGCUGAAAACAACGUUAGUCCUGGGUUAGUUUCAUUCAAAUUAUGCAAAUUAGAGUCCAAAACAAGAGCAAAAGUGUUUGGAAAAUGUCGGGGGAUAACCCCAGGGUAGCCUGAUGGUGGUUGGUGCCCCCCUUGAAAAACAUCGGGCAUGCGUCGCCCCCAAGCUUCGGCUCGUGCCGCAUGAGACAGCCCGCGGCAGAGCCCCUUGCUGCCUGGUUCUGGAGCGAACUGCCACCGGCGGGCGUGCGCCCCACUCACCGCCGUGUACGACAAGCCACCACCUUGAUGAUGGGACGCUACGACAGAGCCAACCACUCCAACAUGAAGGCUGAUGGGGUCUCUAUGGUCAAUCUAGCCAACCUGGAGGGCAAGGAGCACGUGCCGCAGGAACAUCGCGUCUACAAACUCAUCAACACUGUCAAAGCCCUUCAGGCCGAGUUUGAGCCAGCUUAAGCCAAUUCCGUGUCUCCUCACCUCCAAGGCAACAACCAUCCGACGGCUGGCAGAGCCCGGAUGACGCAGCACACAUCUUCUCCCAGGGCUCCGGGCUCCGUGCCAGUCACUGCCGGGACAAGCGUCCCCGACGUCGCGACAACCAACCCGCCAUCACCAGUGCACGGAACGAGCGACAGUAAACCGACCGGCUCCGAACGGAUGUGCGUGCUCCGCCUUUGCAUCAGGACAGGGCCGCCUCAGCGAGCCCAAUGGUGCAUCCUGACCUUGCUUCGUGGGUGGGGCAUAGCAUCCAGAACGAAAAUGAUGCCCGGUGCCGCCUCAACCGGUUGACCGAGUCCAGCCUCCUGGAGGAGGAAGGGCCGAUCGUGUCAGUCUGCUUCGGCCUGAUACAUCCCAAACGUAUCUAUAAUUUUUGCUUGUUCCAUGAUCUUUUGGCUGACAUUCUUAUAUUUCUUGCUACACUUUUAUAUUAUUUUACACAUAUUUGGACUAACCUACUAACUCAGUGCACCCAGUGCCAGUUUCUGUUUGCUGAUGUCUAUUUUGCACGGGCUUUUACCCAAUUUUCCGAAGCCUGAAAAAAUCCAGAAAAAAUAUAUAAAAAAUCAGUGAAACAGAAGCUUCCUGAUCAGCGAAGGAGGGCCAGAGGGGGGCCACGGGCCUCCCAGGCGGCCUGCUGGCGCGACCAGGCCCUAGGCCGCACCAGGAGGUUGCCUGGGUGGGUCCCACCUCCUUUGGUGCCCUUCUUUCGCCUAUAUUUAGAGUCUCGAGAGGAAACCCUUGAAGACUUUCUGGAAUCGCGGAUUUCUCCAACGUUCCGCCGCCACAUCGCUUCCAAGAUCGGGAGUGUCCGGAGAGCUCUUCCCGGCACCCUGUCGGAGGGAGGAUUGACCUUCGGGAGCUUCUCCACCACUAUGGACGCUUCCCAGACGUGCCGUGAGUAGUCCUCCUUAGACCAUGAGUCCAUGACCAGUAGCUAUGUGAUGUCUUCUCUCCAAUCUUGUGCUUCAAUGGUUAGUCCUUGUGAGCUGCCUGAUACGUCUCCAACGUAUCUAUAAUUUUUGAUGGUUUCAUGCUAUUAUCUUGUCAAACUUUGGACGUUUUGUAUGCCUUUUAUAUCUUUUUUGGGACUAACUUAUUAACUCAGUGCCAAGUGCAAGUUCCUGUUUUUCCGUGUUUUUGACCCUUUUCAGAGGAGAUUUUUAAACGGAGUCCAAAUGGAAUAAAAUCUGCGAAAUGAUUUUUUCCAUAACAGAAGACACGCACGAGACUUGAGAACCAAGGCAGGGGACCUCGGAGGAGGUCACAAGCCCACCAGACCCGGCCUAGGAGGGGGACCGGGCCUAGCAGGCUUGUGAGCUCCCCGUGGCUCCCUGCCCUAGGUCUUCCGCCCAUAUAUUCCCUAAAAUCCCAGAAAAAUCAGGAGAUCAUCGAAAAUACUUUUCCGUCCCCGCAAACUUCUGUCUCCGCAAGAUCCCAUAUGGGGCACGUUCUGGUGCCCUGCCGGAGGGGGGAUUCAGAUACGAAGGGCUUCUUCAUCAACACCAUGACCUCUCCGAUGAUGCGUGAGUAGUUCACCAUAGACCUAUGGGUCCAUAGCUAGUAGCUAGAUGGCUUCUUCUCUCUCUUGGAUCUUCAAUACAAAGUUCUCCAUGAUCUUCAUGGAGAUCUAUCUGAUGUAAUCUUCUUUUGCGGUGUGUUUGUCGAUAUCCGAUGAAUUAUGGAUUUAUGAUCAGAUUAGCUAUGAAUCUUAUUUGAGUUUCUUCUGAUCUCUCUUAUGCAUGAUUUCAUAUCCUUGUAAUUCUCUUCGAGUUGUGGGUUUUGUUUGGCCAGCUUGAUCUAUGAUUCUUGCAAUGGGAGAAGUGCUUGGUUUUGGGUUCAUACCAUGCGAUGACCUCACCCAGUGACAGAAGGGGUAGCGAGGCACGUAUCGUGUUGUUGCCAUCAAGGGUAAAAAGAUGGGGUUUUCAUCAUUGGUUUGAGAUUAUCCCUCUAAAUCAUGCCAUCUUGCUUAAGGCAUUACUCUGUUCGUCAUGAACUCAAUACACUAGAUGCAUGCUGGAUAGCGGUCGAUGUGUGGAGUAAUAGUAGUAGAUGCAGAAAGUAUCGGUCUACUUGUCUCGGAUGUGAUGCCUAUAUGUAUGAUCAUUGCCUUAGAUAUCGUCAUGACUUUUCGCCGUUCUAUCAAUUGCUCGACAGUAAUAUGUUUACCCACCGUAAUACUUGCUAUUUUGAGAGAAGCCUCCAGUGAACACUAUGGCCCCCGGGUCUACUACACACUAUAUUUUUAGCCUUACACUUUUACUUCGUUGCACUUUCCGCCUUAAGAUCUCACUUUUCAAUCAAUCUUGAAGGGAUUGACAACCCCUUUAUAGCGUUGGGUGCAAGCUCGUUUGUGUUUGUGAAGGUACUCUGGACUUGACGAGAUUCUCCUACUGGAUUGAUACCUUGGUUCUCAACUGAGGGAAAUACUUACUGCUCCUGUGCUGCAUCACCCUUUCCUCUUCAAGGGAAAAACCAAGGCAAGCAAGUCUCCGUCAACGUGUCAAAUUCUGGCGUUGUUGUUUGAGAAGUAGCACUGCCCUACAUGAUCAAGGCAUCUGUAUAAUUCUCUUGCUAUUGCUAUGCUCGGUUUGUUGGGAUCCAUGGAUUAUGAGAUUAUGUUCAGAUUGUUAUGAGUUAUAUAUAUUUGAUUAGCAUUUUAUAUUAUGUCCCUUAGUGAUUCAUGCAUGUUCUCCGUUGCUUUUUAUUGCUUUGGCCAAGUAGUAGAUCGUAACUCCAAGAGGGAGCGUUAUGCAUGAUUGUGGGUUCAGGCUCCUCGAUGUAUAGCUUGAGUGACAGAAACAUGAGACUAGGGGAUGUGCUUGUUGCCACUAGGGAGAAAACAACGGUGCUUGUGACCACGGUUGCAAGGAUUGUUUACCUUACACAUAGUUCGUUAAUGCAGUUGUCCAUUGCUUUGAGUUUACACUUUGGGUGGGGCUCGCAACUUAAUAUCGGAGAGUUGUUUUGGAUAGAUACCUGAAGGUGGAUGAUUAGUAAGUAGAUGCUGAUGAAUAAACGGUCUACUUGUCUUGGCAUACAACCCAUUACUAUUAAACCUCUAACUAUCAAGGAGCAUAAUUAGCAUUGCGGUGCGAUCAUAAUUCUGUCAAUUGCCCAACUGUGAUUUGUUUACCCUAGCAUAGUUGUUUAUCGUCUUUUGGGAGAGAGACACCACUAGUGAACAUCAUGUGACUCCGGUCCAUAUCACCAUCAGUGUUCACACCUCCAUCAUUUACCGUUUUCAUUUACUUUUUCGUUGCAAUCACUAUUACCUUCCCGCUUGUGUUUUGAUCCUUUGCAAACUACAAGGUCGGAGAGAUUGGCAACCUCUGUGUACUCGUUGGAAGCAAAGUUAUUUGUUGUGUGUGCAGGUCCACGUCUUCUGCUAGCGCCAGGGUGGAAGACACCUACUUGUUGAGCCUAGAAGUCCUCCUGGUUCGAUAAACCUUACAGUCUCCAUGUAAGGGAAAUUUGGUGCUGACUACAUCUCCACCUUCCACUUGGGGUAACCAAUGAGGGGCGAGAAGUAUAUACAUCAACUCGUCAUCACGCCCCCGCAUCUGCAACGAGUCAUUCCCCACCGGCUUCACGUUGCCUCGCGACACCCCCAAGUACAAUGGCUUCGCCAAGCCGAAUGACUGGUUGGUGGACUACACCAUCGUCAUCGCUAUCGCCCGGGGCAACAAGCUCGUGGCGAUGCACUACGUCCUGCUCAUGCUGCUCGGCUCGGCACAGACAUGGCUGAAUAGCUUAUCAGCCAGCAUCAUCAACACCUAGACCGACUUCGAAGAAGCGUUCGUGCGCAACUUCACCGACACCUACAAGCGACCCGGUAGAGCCCGCGAGCUGGCCAUGUGCGUCCAGGGUCCAGAUGUGUCGCUAUGCGACUACCUCACACGCUGGACCAAGCUACACAAGUCAUGUGAGGGGGUGCACAAAAUGUAGGCAACCCAGAACUUCUCCGAGGGUUGUCGAGAUGGCACCGUGCUGAAGCGCAAGCUCGUGCACUCCGAGCCGGCCUCCCUGGCGGACCUUGUGAUCAAGGCGGACAAAAACUCCACGACCGACUCUGCCAUGUGUGUCAAGGUUGACACGACCGGUAAGGCCAUGCCGGCCCGGCCGGCCAACACGAAGCCAGCCAGCCAUGGCUGGCUUUGGAAAAAUAACGACCCCAACAACAAGCAAAAGUUGGACCAGCUGGACCCGUGCUACAACAGCCGACAGGUUGCGACCACUAAAGAUGAACAUUUGGCUAGCCAAGUGAUGACCCACAAGUAUAGGGGAUCAAUCGUAGUCCUUUCGAUAAGUAAGAGUGUUAAACCCAAUGGGGAGCAAAAGGAAAUGACAAACGGUUUUUAGCAAGGUAAUUUCUGCAAGCACUGAAAUAGUGGUAACAAGUUGUUUGAUAGUAAGAUAAUUCUAACAAGUGACAAGUAGCAAUAGUAAAAAUAGGUGCGACAAGGUAGCCAAAACAAGUUCUUAUAAUAGGCAAAGCGUUCUUGAGGGCACACGGGAAUUUCAUCGAGUCAAUUUCGUCAUGUUGGGUUAAUUCGCGUUCGGUAUUUUGAUAAUUUGAUAUGCGGGUGGACCGGUGCCUGGGUGUUUUUAUUACUUGAACAAACCUCCCACUUAUGAUUAACCCUCACGCAAGAAUCCGUAACUACGAGAAAAGUAUUAAGAAUAAAGUCUAACCAUAUCAUCAAACAUAAGGAUCCAAAUCAGCCCCUUACGAAGUAGUGCAUAGACUGGGGUUUAAGUUUCUGUCACUCUCGCAACCCACCCUCUAAUUACUACUCCACAAUGCAUUCCCUUAUGCCCAAAAUAUGGUGAAUUUUUAUAUAGUCGACAUUCACAUAACACCACUAAGGGAAUGACAACAUUGAGAUCAUCAAAAUAUCGAACGAACAUCAACUUCAUAUGACUAUUUGCAACAUGAUUUAUCCCAUGGCCUAAAGAAUGAAAGUAAGUACUCACAAGUGAUAAACAUGUUCAUGAUCAGAGAGGUAUUUAAUGGCAUAAUGGAUCUGAACAUAUAAUCUUCCACCAAGUAAACUAUAAAGCAUCAACUACAAUAUGUAAUAAACACUACUAGACACACCUGGGGUGCCAAUCUGUGGUUCCGGUACAAGAUUGAGUACAAGAGAUGAACUAGGGUUUUGAUAGGAGAUCGUGCUAGUGAAGAUGUUGAUGAAGAUGGGCCUCCCCAAGAUGAGAGGGUUGUUGGUGAUGAUGAUGGCCUCGAUUUCCCCCUCUAGGAGGGAAGUUCCUCUGACAGAAUCGCUGCAUCGGAGGGCAAAAGUGCUCCUGCCCAGGUCCUCACCUCAAUUUUUUUAGGUCCGAGGAGAAUAUAUACGAGAAGAUGGGUGCGAGAGAUGGGCCAGGUGGCCCACUAGACAUGAGGCCACGCCAGGGGUCCCUGGCGCGCCCUCGUGUCUAGUGGCCGCCUAGUGACCCCCCAUCCGACACUUCUCCGUUCCAGAAUUUUUUAUAUAUUCUAAAAUAAAUCCCCGUAAAUUUUAAGCUCAAUUUGAGGUGUGGAGAAUAGGUACUCCCUCCGAUUCUUUUUUGUUUGCAUAUAACUUUUGCUCAUUUUUUCCUAAUUAGUCUGCGUACUACCUUUUGCUCGUCACUAUUUCCAUCUCUGCCCCCACCUGCCGCGUAUGCUUUCAUUACUUUGGCAGAAGCACCGACACUCCAACCAAUCAAAGCGGCAUGCAAAUGGGCCCAUGGCGCAUGCGUGUGGGAAAGAGAAACAUGUUGAAGCAGCUACCCAAUCCGUUGCAUGCAGUGAUUAAACAAAUUGUGCUAUCUUCAUGCAUGCACAAGGGUAAACUAGUCCAAAAGAUACACAACAAGGACCUCCUUGGUAUCUGUGCUUCUUCUUAUGCGCAGAGAAUUGAGGAUCGGAGGGAGUAUCUCUGACGUAGAUUUUUCUAGUCCAGAAUUCUAUGUGCCGGUAUUCUCCCACUUGAUGUAAACCUUGCAUAUUAUGAGAGAAAAGGCAUUAGAAUUACUCCUCCAAUUGGCUAAAAGCAUAAAAAAACUAUAAAUAACAAUAAUAAAACAUGAUGCAAAAUGGACGUGUCACCAAGCCGGGUGCCAGCGACAGCGAACAGGCAAGGCCGCCUGGCUGCCAAUGCUCACCUUCGAGCAGAUGCUUGACGCUCCGUGGAAGAUGCACAUCGGCACGAAGCCGGCCAUGCACACUCUUCGGGAGUGCAGCUUCUCCCACCGACUGGCUUGGGGUGAGGGCAUUCUGACGACUCCUCUCCCGGGACAGGGAGCUCCAGCUCCGGCUCCUCCGCCAGCCCCGGCUCCGGCUCACAACAAUGUCCUGCUCCUAGACCGCUUCCCCGAGCAAGAGAUCCCGUACAUCCUCUUCACCAGCGCGGAUGAUGGCAAGAACACCCAAUGCAAGUGCCAGCACGAGGUGAACGCUAUGGUGCCCUCAGUCCCUUAGUACGUGCAUUGGUCCGAGAAGCCGGUUACGUUGAGCCGUAAGGACCACCCAACGGUGAUGCCAAAUCCUUGUGGCUACUCCCUCGUCCUCGACCCCACCAUCACGCCCUGGAAGCUCACCUGUCAAUUUUCACGGGUGCUGGCCGAUUGCAGCAUCAAGAUCAGCAUUCUCUACCGCGACACCCUGCUCAAGCUUGGCCUUAAGGAGUCCCACCUGCAGCUGACCCAGACGGUCUUCCACGGCAUCAUGCCAUGGCAGUCUUGCUCUCACAUCAGCAAGAUCUGACUCAACGUCCUCUUCGACACCAAGAGCUACUUUCUCCAUGAUUCGGUCUAGUUUGAGGUGGUGGACCUUAGCAGCCCCUAGCACGCGCUUCUGGGCUGCCUGCCCCUGGCCAAGUUCAUGUCAGUUCUGUUGGAAAUAUGCCCUAGAGGCAAUAAUAAAUUGGUUAUUACUAUAUUUCCUUGUUUAUAAUAAUCGUUUAUUAUCCAUGCUAGAAUUUUAUUGAUUGGAAACUCAAAUACAUGUGUGGAUACAUAGACAACACAUUGUCCCUAGUGAGCCUCUAGUUGACUAGUUCGUUGAUCAAAGAUGGUCAAGAUUUCCUGGCCAUAGGCAAGUGUUGUCACUUGAUAACGGGAUCACAUCAUUAGGAGAAUGAUGUGAUGGACAAGACCCAAACUAUAAACGUAGCAUAUGAUCGUGUCAGUUUAUUGCUACUGUUUUCUGCAUGUCAAUGUAUCUGUUCCUAUGACCAUAAGAUCAUGCAACUCCCGGACAUUGGAGGAAUACCUUGUGUGUAUCAAACGUCGCAACAUAAUUGGGUGACUAUAAAGGCGCUCUACAGGUAUCUCCGAAGGUGUCUGUUGGGUUGGCAUGGACCAUGACUGGGAUUUGUCACUCCGUGUGACGGAGAGGUAUCUCGGGGCCCACUCGGUAAUACAACAUCACAAUAAGCCUUGCAAGCAAUGUGACUAAUGAGUUAGUUAUGGGAUCUUGUAUUACGUAAUGAGUAAAGAGACUUGCUAGUAACGAGAUUGAGCUAGGUAUGAAGAUACCGACGAUCGAAUCUCAGGUAGGUAACAUACUCAAGGACAAAGGGAACAUCAUACAGGAUUAACUAAAUCCUUGAUAUAGAGGUUCAACCGAUAAGAUCCUCGUAGAAUAUGUAGGAUCCAAUAUGGGCAUCCAGGUCCCGCUAUUGGAUACUGAUCGGAGAGUGUCUCAGGUCAUGUCUGCAUAGUUCUCGAACCCGCAGGGUCUUCACACUUAAGGUUCGGUGAUGUUUUGGUAUAGUUGAGUUAUAGGUGUUGGUAACCAAAAGUUGUUCGGAGUCCCGAAUGAGAUCCAGGACGUCACGAGGAGCUCCGGAAUGGUACGGAGGUAAAGAAUAAUAUAUAGGAAGUCCUGUUUUGGUCAGCGGAAAAGUUUCGGGUUCAUCGGUAGUGUACCGGGAGUGCCGGGAGGGGUGCCGGGGACCAUCGGGAGGAGUGUCACGCCCCAAGGGGUCUCAUGGGCUAUGGGAAGAGAUAAACCAGCCCCUAGUGGGCUGUAAUAAGUUCCCACUAAGUCCCAUAAGGUUUAAGAAGGAAAAACACAAGGUAAAGAGUUUCCAAGUGGGAAGGUGGAAUCCUACUCCAAGUAGGAUUGGAGUAGGACUCGUCCACCUCCAAUUUCGGCCAGACCUUGAGGUUUUGAGGCUGCCUCCUCCCCUCCCUCCCUCCUAUAUAUAGUGGUGAUUUAGGGCUGAUUUGAGACAACUUUUUGCCACGUGCAACUCAGAUCUAGACACCAUAGUUCUUCCUUUAGAUCGUAUUUCUGCGGAGCUCGGGCGGAGCCCUGCAGGAUUAGAUCGUCACCACCACCGGAGCAUCGUCACGCUGGCGGAGAACUCUUCUACCUCUCUGCCCUCUCUUGCUGGAUCAAGAAGGUGGAGAUUGUCAUCGAGCUGUACGUGUGCUGAACGCGUAGGUGCCGUCCGUUCGGCACUAGAACGCAACGGAUCAUGAAGACGGAUCGCAAGACGGUUCGUGAGACAGAUCGCGGGACGGUUCAUUGGAUGGAUCACGGGACGGAUCGUGGGACGGAUCACGGGACGGUUCGUGGGAUGGUUCGUGGGGCGGUUCGAGGGACGUGAAGACAUUCCACUACAUCAGCCGCGUUUCUUAACGCUUCCCGCUGUGCGAUCUACAAGGGUACAUAGAUCCAAAUCUCCUCUCGUAGAUGGACUUCACCAUGAUAGGUCUUCGUGUGCGUAGGAAUUUUUUUGUUUCCCAUGCAACGUUCCCCAACAGUGGCAUCAUGAUCUAGGUUCAUGCGUAGAUGUUAUCUCGAGUAGAACACAAAGGGUUUUGUGGACGGUGAUGUUCGAUUUUCUGCCCUCCUUAGUCUUUUCUCGAUUCAGCGGUAUUGUUGGAUUGAAGCGUCCCGGACAGACAUUAUUCGUACGCUUAUGAAAGACUGGUUUCAUCGAUUGACAUGCAACCUCGUUGCAUAAAGAUGACAGACGGGUGUCGGUUUCUUCAACUUUAGUUGAAUUGGUUUUGACCGAGGCGGUCCUUGGAGAGGUUAAAUAGCAAUUUGCACAUCUCCGUUGUGGUUUUUGCGUAAGUAAGAUGUGAUCAUACUAAAUACCCAUAGCAUCCACGUAAAACAUGCAACAACAAAUUAGAGGACGUCUAACUUGUUUUUGCAGGGUAUGCUUGUGAUAUGAUAUGGCGAAUGACGUGAUGUGAUAUAUUGGAUGUAUGAGAUGAUCAUGUUGUAAUAGUUACUAUCGACUUGCACGUCGAUGGUACGGCAACCGGCAGGAGCCAUAGGGUUGUCUUUAAACUAACGUUUGUGUUUGCAGAUGCUUUUACUAUAUUUCUAGGACGUAGCUUUAGUAGUAAUAGCAUAAGUACCACGACAACCUCGAUGGCGACACGUUGAUGGAGAUCAUGGUGUGGCGCCGGUGACAAGAAGAUCGUGCCGGUGCUUUGGUGAUGGAGAUCAAGAAGCACAAGAUGAUGGCCAUAUCAUGUCACUUAUGAUUUGCAUGUGAUGUUAAUCCUUCUAUGCACCUUAUUUUGCUUAGAAUGAUGGUAGCAUUAUGAGGUGAUCUCUCACUAAAAUUUCAAGACGAAAUUGUGUUCUCCCCGACUGUGCACCGUUGCGACAGUUCUUCGUUUCGAGACACCACAUGAUGAUUGGGUGUGAUAGACUCAACGUUCACAUACAACGGGUGCAAAACAGUUGCACACGCGGAACACUCGGGUUAAACUUGAAGAGCCUAGCAUGUGCAGACAUGGGCUCGGAACACAAGAGACCGAAAGGUCGAGCAUGAAUCGUAUAGUUGAUAUGAUUAGCAUAGAGAUGCUUACCACUGAAACUGUUCCCAACUCACGUGAUGAUCAGACUUGAGUUAGUGGAUUUGGAUCAUGUACCACUCAAAUGACUAGAGAGAUGUACUUUUUGAGUGGGAGUUUAUUAAGUAAUUUGAUUAGUUAAACUCUAAUUAUCAUGAACAUAGUCAAAAGGUCUUUGCGAAUUAUGAUGUAGCUUGCGCUAUAGCUCUACUGUUUUUAUAUGAUCCUAGAGAAAAUUUAGUUGAAAGUUGAUAGUAGCAACUUUAUGCACUAAGUCCGUAAAACUGAGGAUUGUCCUCAUUGCUGCACCGAAGGCUGAUGUCAGAUCUGCUUCCCUGGCAACGGCGCCAAGAAUAGUCGUGUCGACGGCACCAGGAAUCCUUCUGCUGCGGCUACGCCUUAAGGGACUUCCUAGGCAAAUAUGCAAAGGAUUUCCCCCGUGGCCUUGGAGCCUUGCGUUGGUGUUCCCUCGAAGCGGAAAGGGUGAUGUAGCACAACGGUGGUAAGUAUUUCCCUCAGUUUGAGAACCAAGGUAUCAAUCCAGUGGAGGAGUAUCACAAGAUCCUGCACAAAAACAAAGAACCUGCUCCCAACGCUAUGAGGGGGUUGUCAAUCCCUUAUAGAUUGUUUGCCAAGUGAGAACUGAAAGCAACAAAGUAACAAAGCAAAGUAAAAGCGGAGGUGUAAACGAUAUAUGUGAAUAGACUCGGGAGCCGUAGUGUUUACUAGUGGCUUCUCUCAUGAAAGCAAGUAGACGGUGGGUGAAAAAAUUACUGUCGAGAAAUUGAUAGAACCGCGCAAAGUCAUGACGAUAUCUACGACAAUGAUUAUAUCUAUAGGCAUCACGUCCAAAACAAGUAGACCGAUACUGUCUGCAUCUACUACUAUUACUCCACACGUCGACCGCUAUCCAGCAUGCAUCUAGUGUAUUAAGUCCAAAAGAACAGAGUAACGCCUUAAGCAAGAUGACAUGAUGUAGAUGGACAAUCUCAUAUCAACGACAGAGCCCAUAUUGUUACCCUUGAUGGCAACUACUUAAUGUGUGCCUUGCUGCCCCUACUGUCACUGGGAAAGGUCACCACAUGGUAGAACCCAAAACCAAGCACUUCUCCCAUUGCAAGAAUCAUAGAUCUAGUUGGCCAAACAAAACCCAAGACUCGGAGAGACUUACAAGGAUAUCAAAUCAUGCAUAAAAGAAAUCAACAAAGACUCAAAUAUAUAUCAUAGAUAAUCUGGUCACAAAUCCACAAUUCAUCGGAUCUCGACAAACACAUCGCCAAAGAAGAUUACAUCGGAUAGAUCUCCAUGAAAAUCAUGGAGAACUUUGUAUUGAAGAUCCAAGAGAGAGAAUAAGCCAUCUAGCUACUAACUACGGACCCGUAGGUUUGAAGUGAACUACUCACGAGUCAUUGGAGGGGCGAUGAUGAUGAUGAAGAAGCCCCCCAACUCCAAAGUCCCCUCCGGCAGGGCGCCGGGAAGGGUCUCCAGAUGAGAUCUCGCGGAAACGAAGUUUGCGGCGUCGGAAAAAUAUUUUCGAGGCUCCCCUGAUUUUUUGCUGUAUUUUAGGGAAUAUAUAGGCCAAAGAUCUAGGUCAGGGGGUGACGAGGGAGGCCACAAGCCCUACCACCGCCGCCUCCCCUGGAGGCGAAGUGGGGGUUUGUGGGCUCCCAGGAGCCCUCCUGGCUUGGCCCACAACCCCCUGAUCUUCUUCCGUUCGGGAAAAAAUCAUUUCGGGGAUUUUAUUCCGUUUGGACUCCGUUCCAAAAUCAGAUCUGAAAAGAGCCAAAAACACAGAAAAAACAGGAACUGACACUUGGCACUGUAUUAAUAAGUUAGUCCCAAAAAAGAUAUAAAAGGUACAUAAAACAUCCAAAGAUGACAAGAUAACAACAUGAAACCAUCAAUAAUUAUAGAUACGUUUGAGACGUAUCAAGCAUCCCCAAGUUUAACUCCUGCUCGUCCUCGAGUAGGGAAGUGAUAAAGAAUGAAUUUUUGAUGCUUUCAUGCUACCAAGCAUAGAUGUCCUUUGUAAGUCCUCUUAUGUGACGUGAAUGUUCAGAUCCAUUAGAUUCAAAACAAUAGUUUGCUAUUGACGUGGAAACAAUAAUAAUUCAAGCAAACUAGCAAGGUAAUCAUGAACUUUCAAGAUAACAAGGCCAAAAGAAAGUUAUCCCUACAAAAGCAUAUAGUCUGGCUAUGCUCUAUCAUCAUUGCACAACGAAUUUAAAUCAUGCUCAACCCCGGUAUUGGCCAAGUAAUUGUUUCACACCUUUACUUUCUCAAACCUUUUCAACUCUCACGCAAUACAUGAGCGUGAGCCAUGGUUAUAACAGUAUAGAUGGUGUGGAGUGUGGUGGAGGUUGCAAGACAAAAAAAGGAGAAGAUAGUCACAUUAACUUGGCAUAUCAAUAAGCUGUGGAGAUACUCAUCAAUAUAUAUCAAUGUGAAUGAGAAGGGAUUGCCAUACAAAUGAUGCACUAGAUCUACGAGUAAGUGAAAGCUCUUAAAGAAAACUAGUGGGUGUGCAUCCAACUUGCUUGCUCACGAAGACCUAAGGCAAUUUUGAGGAAGCCUAUCAUUGGAAUAUACAAGCCAAGUUAUAUAAUGAAAAUUUCCCACUAGCUAUAUGGUGGUGACAAAAUGAGAGACUCUCAAUCAUGAAGAUCAUUGUGCUUAAUAUGCACAAGUGUGGAAAAAGUGGUAGCAUUGUCCCUUCUCUCUUUUUCUCUCAUUUUUUUUUAUUUUUUUGGUGGGCUCUUUGGCCUCUUUUUUUGGUGGGAUUCUUUGGCCUCUUUUAUUUCCUCACAUGGGACAAUGCUCCACUAAUGAUGAUCAUCACACUUUCAACUCAAAACUUAGAGCAACUAUGACUCUAUAUGGAAUGCCUUCGGUAGUGUACCAUGGCAAUGAUCUAGCAUGGCAUAGACAUCAAUGGAAACAUCAUGCCAGCUAUCUUACGAUCAUGCAAUGGCAAUGUAGACGUCAUGGCACAUGUCAUGGUGGUAGUUGCAUGACAAUAUAUCUCGGAAUGACUUUGAAAAAGCCAUAGUAGGUAAGUAUGGUGGCUGUUUUGAGGGAGACUAAUGGUGGGUUUUGUGCACCGGCGAAAGUUGCACGACACUAAGAAGAUAGUGAUGGUGGCAGGUGAAAGUGCAUCUAAACUAUGGACUCAACAUUAGUCAUGAAGAACUCAUAUACUUGUUGCAAAAAUUUUAUUAGUAAUCGAAACAAAGCAUUCAACGCAUACUCCUAGGGGAAGGGUUGGUAGGUAUAAACCAUCGCGCGAUCCCAACCGCCACGCAAAGGAUGACAAUCAAUAGACUAAUCAUGCUCAGAUUUCAUCACAUAGAGGUUCACCAUACGUGCAUGCUACGAGAAUCACUAACUUCAACACAAGUAUUUCUAGAUCCACAACACCUUACUAGCAUGACUUCAGUAUUACCAUAACCACAACUCAAAACUAAUUAUGAAUUGAACUUCUCUAACUAUUCAAUGCACAUGAAGGUGGAAGUUUUCGUAUCCCUUUGGAUAAAUACCCGUUUUGCGACUACUUUCAAAGCAUAGAUCAACUACCAAGCCACGCACCGCUGUGCUGUAAAAUAUAUAAGCGAAGCACAUAGAGAAAAAGUAUCUAGCUCAAAAGAUAUAAGUGAAGCAUAUGUGAGCUGAAUUGUCUACCAAAGGAUAUAAGUGAAGCUCGACAAAAUCACGGUGAGUGCAUGUCUCUCUCUCUAGGUGUGCAGCAAGUAUGAUUGUGACACAACAAAAAUAAAAGACUCCUAUGAUACAAGACGCUCCAAGCAAAAACACAUAACAUGUGGUGAAUAAAAAUAUAGCCCCAAGUAACGUUACCGAUGGAUUGAAGAUGAGAGAGGGGAUGCCUUCCCGGGGCAUCCCCAAGAUUAGGCUUUUACGGCAUCCUUGAAUCUCUUGGGGUGCCUUGGGCAUCCCCAAGCUUGAGCUCUUGCCACUCUUUAUCUCUUUGUCUAUAAGAACUUCACCCAAAACUUGAAAACUUCACAACAAGAAACUUAAACAGAAACUCGUGAUAACAUUAGUAUGAGAAAGCAAACCACCACUUCCUUAGGUACUGUAGCAAACUUAAAUUCUACUUGUGCUGAUGUUGGGUUACUGUAUUUUCAAUCUUCCAUGGCUAAUAUCCCCCGAUACUAUCCAUAGUUUCAUCAAAAUAAGCAACCAACACAACAAAAACAGAAUCUGUUAACAACAGACCAGUCUGUAGGAAUCUGUAUAUUUUGUAUACCUAUGGUACUUCAAAAAUUCUAAACCAUUACUAAAGUCUGAAGAAUUUGCGUAGAAAUCAGCAGCAAAAAGAAUCAACUCAAAAGCUCUUACAGAAAAAAAAAUGAAAAUUCUUUUCAUGAGCAGAAAGUUUCUGUCUUUUCCAGCAUGACCAAACGAUCAUCCCCAAGACUAAUCAUAACGGUUUUGCUUGGCACAAACACAAAAGGAAACACAAAAAACACAAUCAUAACAGAAUUAUGAAAGUGUGGAAAACACAAAACAGAAAGAAAAAGGAUAGAUUCGUUGGGUUGCCUCCCAACAAGCGCUUUUGUUUAACGCCCUUAGCUAGGCGAAAGGUGAUGGAAUCACGUAUAGUCAUCUUUGGUGCUCAAACCAUAAGUAGUGUGAUCAUUUAUCAUCUUAAGAUCUUCAUCUUUAUUGGAUGACUCACCAAUAGCUUUAGGAAAAAAACAGACUUGACGGUCUUUUUGAGAGUGAGAUUUGGAGUAUUUUGCACAGCGGCAAAAGUGGAACCCAAGUUGGUUAUGACAUCUUCUAAUUUGCCAAUUCUAGAAGAAUGAUUAACUAUAAGUUCCUUCUCCCUUAAUUUUUUCAAAAAAAUUCCCACUUUGGAUCCGUACUGAGUAAUUUGAUUGUGGAUCUUUCUAUCCAAACCCUCAAUAAGUUUAACUGUGGCAAUUUUGCUUUCAACAGCGUCAAGCCUUUGCAUCACGUGUUCCAAGGUCAAGGUAGUUCCAUUAACCAUGAGCGGGGGUGAGCCUACCAAAUUCAUGAUAGCUCUAUAGGAGUCAACAGUAUGGCUCCCCAGAAAAUUCCCGCCUACAAUGGUGUCAAGGAUGUACCUAUUCCAAGGAGAAAUCCCAACAUAGAAACUGCAAAGGAGGAUGGUAGUGGAUUGCUUACGAGUAGAUCUACUUUGAGCAUUGCAAAUCCUGUACCAAGCGUCCUUUAAAUUUUCUUCCUAAUUCUGCGUGAAAUUGAGAACUUCAUUCUCAUGGGUAUCGUUUGGAGUGGUGGGUCUAUCCAUUGAUGGACAACCUCACACACAAACGAGCAGGAAGAGAGAGCGCAACGGGCAAAAGAAAAUGACAAAGGAAAAAGGCAAAUGAAAACGACAAUGUGAAGUGGGGGAGAGGAAAACGAGAGGCAACUGGCAAAAAAGUAAAUGCAAGAGAUGAGUUUGUGAGACCUACUUGGAUAGAUCUUGAUCUCUCCUCCCUGGCAACGGCGCCAGAAAUACUUCUCAUGUCAGUUGUGCUUCCCUGGCAACGGCGCCAAGAAUAGUCAUGUCAACGGCACCAGGAAUCCUUCUGCUGCGGCUACGCCUUAAGGGACUUCCUAGGAAAAUAUGCAAAGGAUUUCCCCCGUGGCGUUGGAGCCUUGCGUUGGUGUUCCCUCGAAGCGGAAAGGGUGAUGUAGCACAGCGGUGGUAAGUAUUUCCCUCAGUUUGAGAACCAAGGUAUCAAUCCAGUGGAGGAGUAUCACAAGAUCCUGCACAAACACAAAGAGCCUGCUCCCAACGCUAUGAAGGGGUUGUCAAUCCCUUAUAGAUUGUUUGCCAAGUGAGAACUGAUAGCAACAAAGUAACAAAGCAAAGUAAAAGCGGAGGUGUAAAUGAUAGAUGUGAAUAGACCCGGGGGCCGUAGUGUUUACUAGUGACUUUUCUCAUGAAAGCAAGUAGACGGUGGGUGAACAAAUUACUGUCGAGCAAUUGAUAGAACCGCGCAAAGUCGUGACGAUAUCUAUUGCAAUGAUUAUAUCUAUAGGCAUCACGUCCAAAACAAGUAGACCGAUACUGUGUGCAUCUACUACUAUUACUCCACACGUCGACCGCUAUCCAGCAUGCAUCUAGUGUAUUAAGUCCAAAAGAACAGAGUAACGCCUUAAGCAAGAUGACAUGAUGUAGAUGGACAAUCUCAUAUCAACGACAGAUCCCAUCUUGUUACCCUUGAUGGCAACUACUUAAUGUCUGCCUUGCUACCCCUAAUGUCACUGGGAAAGGUCAUGUAACGACCAAGAUGCGGUCCUUUCCGAUCUGGGAGUCGAGGCCCCUGAAUAGGAAAGAAGCGCAUCUAAGCGUUUCGCAAGCGAGUAACAUAGCACAAAUAAAUACAAGUAGACAAUUCGGGAUUCAACUGUCUUCUUAUUAAUAACUCAGAGUACAUCACAGAUACAAUCAAGGUAGUUCCACUACGGACUACAAAACAUGGAAAUGCUAUGCUACCCUGCCUACAGGCCCACGAUCACGACCACGCCUCAGUCCUCUGGAUAGUUCACGUAGAGGCGGUCUGUCUCCUCGUCGUACUGCCACGCCAGCUGGGUGCCGUCGGGAUCAUCUGUCUCUGGGGUACCUGUACCUGCUGGGAGUUUCGUAGGAAUCCGUGAGCCACGGGAACUCAGCAAUCUAAGACCUUGGUGCCAGAACUAGUCAUGUUAUUAGGUAGGGUAAGGGAGAAGUGUAUCAGGCUGCAGCACCCUAUGCUUGAUUAAGUGGCUAACUUACGCAAAAUAGAAGGGAAGGUGGUCUACACUAGCGGUCGGAUUUACUUGAUCACUAAGUGAUCCUGAACACCUACCUACGGCAUUCAUAACCCCACCGUGUUCCUGAUCGAAGAGAGAUCUUCGAAGGGACAGUCACGGUUACGCACACAGUUGGCAAUUUUAUUAGUUUAUGUUUAAGUUCUCUACUACCGGAUGUUAACAAAAUAUUCCAAGUUGCCACAUAACCGCGGGCACGGCUUUCCGAAAGAUUAAACCCUGCAGGGGUGCUCCAACUAGUCCAUCACAAACGAACACAGGCCGCAAAGGCAUCCUCUAUCACGAAUCUCGUGAUCUCGUCGGAUUCCUUAGAGGAAAACCUCAACCCUGGGGGAAACCAAAGCUUCACUGGGAUUCCUAUACGCAAGAUAUACCGCUAAGGUAAGACAAGGCUAGCAGGACCUCCCGACGUGUCGACGACCCUGAUAAGAGCCGCGUAUCUCAGUCUCAGGACACGGUGGAUGGAAAAGCCUACAGGAGCCAAACCUCAAGUUUCCCUGUGGUGGCCCCCGCAGUCUGUCCAAGUUGGACCAACACUCAUGCGGAGCACUGGCCCGGGUUGUUGAUUAAAAUCCUCGGGGUAGCUAUUCCCUAUGCAGUUUAUUAUUAAGUGAUUGGCAAAUUAACACCAAUGUUGGGUCCUGCCGGACAAGCCUUAGCGCUACGCGAUUUAUCAAGGGGGUCCCCAUAACAACCCCGAACGUGUUAGGAGCGAUCAUUAUGGAAUCAAACACCGGUAACCGGUAACUAAGGCGGCAAGAACGGAACAAAGCACCCGACAAAAGGCUAGGCCUCCCGUCAUUUACCAAGUAUAUAGGUGCAAUAAUUAAAUAACAGAAUUUAAGAUAAUUAUAUCAAGGCUCAUGUUAUUACAUGAGUCAAAGCACCUGCAUCUAGCAACGCUAACAUUAGUAGCUGAGCAAGCCUACUUAGCCAUACAAGUUUGCUAGGAAGGAGAACGGUGUUUGGGCUCAUGGCAUAUGAAGAGGCAAUUUAAUUUCAGUGGUAGGCAGCGAGAAAUAUGACAUGGAAACGAAAACUAGCAUAACAAGUCUAGAGAUGGAAUCAAGGUCGUAUCAUCAUGCCUGUGAUAUCCUCAACUUGGAAUGGUUCUGGUUCGUCCUGCACGUACUCUCAUGACUCCACGUAUUCGUUCUCCGAUCCCGGUGCUACCCAACAUAAGAAUAACAGCCAUGAACAGCAGCACCACAAGAUGCAACAAUCACAUGAUGCAUGAGAUGAAAAAUGGGCAUGCAUCACUAAUUCUAUCACUAGCAGAAGCAAAUUAAACUACUGCAAGUUUCUGGACAGAACUGUACACUAAGCUAUUUUGACAUGCAUGAGGAUGGCAUGAACAGAUGCAGCUCAUGAAAACGAUGCAAAACCAUAUAAAGAACAUUGCAAACGGAGCUACGGAUCAAUGGGAAUCAACGAAACAAGAUAUGAAGCUCUACGUGGAAGAUUCAACACCACACCCACAAUUGGCACAAAUCUGGUAUUCCCAGGUUGCCAAGACAUAUAACAACCCAACAUGAAUGGAUUGGAGCAAGGUAGAACACCACAACAUCAACUAAGCACACACAUUGAUCAAAAUGACUAUACUACAUAAUCUGCCACAAUCUGCAUCUUAGCUCUUUGGGAGCUACAUGCAACAUAGCUACAGGCCUCCAAACAUGACAAAUAAUAUAUGUGGCUGUUGCCAACCAAGAACACUACAAGCACCAGCAAGAAUCACAGCAAAAGGAAUUAAACUCUAGAAGAUACAAGGCCACAAACUUUCCCAAAACCAUCAGAUCUCAGGGACUUAGUGAAAAUUCCUGCACCUGAGUUUCUGUCUCUGUUCUGAAGCCUUUUGACAGCAAUCAAAGCACAACCUACUGGACUCCAAAUGAUUUGAAAUUUGACAGGGAGCUUCACAAACAUAUCAGGUUCAAAAUCCUGGCACUGAACUAAGGCUAGUUCUCAAUACAAUGACCAGCACAUCCUCAUCUAUAAGAGAAGAAAAUGUUUCCAGAAUCACAGACUUAGUGAAAUUUCAGAUUUCACUAAUCUGGGAUUUUUCAGCCACAUGCCGACUUUGUCUAGGCGUAGUUUGCACACACAUAACACCAAGUGAUAAAUGACACCACUAUAGUGUAUAGCAGAACCCCUACUACUAUCACACAAAAACUCAUGCCCUUGGGCUCCACCUAUUCCAUGGAAUCAAAGAUCAAACUUGCAACAAAACUGAAUAUGUCAACUCCAUAAAGUUUCCUAAUGGCAAAACAAACUUCACCACUGGAUUCCUUGGGAGAUUCUACCCCAAAAUCAUCUAUAAUAUGUGGACACUGACUUGUAACAAGUGACCACAAAUUAAGGGAGAGUAAACUACUCCAAAUCAUGCCUAGGGAAUGGCCAUCAUUUCAUGUAGUUCCUACUAAGACAACAACUACAAAGGUUGUGUUCAUGUGCACAAUGACAAAGUUACAUGGUGGUUUGAACCCCAUGUUUGUGUCAUGCACAUCAACAACACAAAUACUACUCAGUAAGUCACCCCACACACACAACACCAUGCCCUCUCACAUAUGGACAUGUGAAGGUGCAUAGUUUGCAAAGGUGGGAAGUCCCACACACACACAUAUAUCAUCAUCACAAACCCCAUCACUAGCAUUUAAACCCAAGAACAACAUGAGGGGGAAAACUUCUAAGUACGUAACAUGGAACCAUCACCUCUCAAACACUUCUAGUAGGUACCACAUGUGGUGUGCACUUACUACAAAUAUAUCUCCAUUCCUACACCAUCAUCAUCACUCACAACUCCUAUACACACAUGUCUACUUGCAAUUACACCACCAACAUAUAAUAGCAAGACCACACACACACACACAUCACUUCUCACAAGAACACACACAUAUAUCAUCUAUUCUAAUGUGUGCAAAACACACACAAAAAUACAAUCUGCACCUAGCUACACUAGCAGGAAAAAGAACUAAAAGGCCACUUUGUCUAAGAGUUAGAAAAAAUAGAAAUAGAAAAAUAAAAGAAAAGACAAUAAAAAUGCAACAGGGACUCCUGGGAAUCGAACCCAGAACCUCUGGUGACCAGCAACAACACCAAGCCACUACACUACUGCUACUUUGUCGACAUGGUAGGGGAAGUAAACAGGGUAACCUGUUCCUGUGGCCACUGUGCAGUUAAAUCAGCAAAACCAAAAGAGUGCCGAGGGGGGAUCGAACCCGCGCCCUCUCAUCAGGCAGCCACACACUACUACCACUAGGCUACGGAUCGACACUUGACAGGUAAGAGGGAGUAACUCUGAAGAGUAUUCCCUUCUGCAUAUCUGCCGCCGACGGCUUGCCGGAACAGGGGAGGUGCUCGACGGCGUUGUGCCGCAAAUCGAACUGCAGGUCCUAGAUGGAAGGUUGCUGGGGCAACCAGGGUUCCAUUUCUAGCGUUGCUACGACCUGAGGAGCCCUACGACGACGGCUCCACGACGAGCGGCGGCUCCGGCGAUAGAGGCGAAGCAUGCGUCGAUUCUACUUCUACUGCGCUCGAUUUGGGACAGGGAGGAGGGAGGAGGAGCACUACCUCACGUACGGGUCGAGGAGGUAGACGCCCGUAGAGGAAGUGGUGGAAGAAGCGCGCGGAGUGGAGGAGCUCGUCGGGGAAGUUGCUCCGCCGGGAAGAAGAGGAAGGAGGGGGGUGAUGAAGACGAUCCAGCGGCAGGAAUGGACUCCUGGAGAUGCCCUCGAGCUGCGGGAACCUUCGGCGAGGAAGAAGAUGCCCCACGACGACGGCGACGUUGAGCUUCACAGAUCGGCCAUGGCGGAGCCGAUCGCUUCUUACCUUGCAGCGACGAGAGAGAGAGAGGAGGGAGAAGGGAUCUGGGUGGAGCGGCGGCGGAAGGGGAAACACUAGCCGAGGCGCGGACACCAAGGCUCUUUAUAGGGCAAGAGGGGAAGCGAGGGACGCGCCGUCGGCCAUGUGCGCGUGCUCCUCUCGGUGGAACAAAGGGGAACAGGAGAGAGAGGAUGACAGGUGGGACCCACGGGCGCCGCACUGGAAAGGAGGUAGACGACGCCGUGCGCGUGCUCCUGCGCGAAGGGAAAGGAAAUGGGCUGCUAAGUGGGAGUAAGCCCACUUAGGAGCGCCAGAUAGAAGAAAGAGGGACUCCCUCAUUUCCUAAUACAGAAAAAAACACAGAGAAGAAAAAUAAAGCACAUGCUAAAAUACUGGGGAUAAAAUCAAACAAAAAUAUCCCCUGAUCAUAGAAAAAUAUGACCUAUUUAAAUAAAAAAAACAAGAUUUUUAGGAGCAAGUAAUUAUUUCACAAAACAGAAUUAGAUGACUCUGUUUUGUAUUAAUUGCACCUAUUUAAAACACUUUUAAAAUCACCAACCUUGCACAACUAAACACCCACAAUAUUUAGUAAACAGAGGACAUUUUAACCCAGGUAAAAAGCAAGUGAAACUUUGAGCUUGGGGUUAAAAGAGAGAAAAGGUUUGAAACUAACAAGGGGGGUUUUGAAAAUAAGGCCAAGCACCACACUCCACUACUUCACACCACACCAUCACAUGAAAUCACAAGACACCACACUAAGACAUGGCAAGGUAUAGAUGCAAGCAAAACAAGGCAUGGUAGAAUGGUAUGACAUGGAUGCAUGCAUGCAAAAGAAGAAACACAAGGUGAACACAUGAAUUCAUACAUGCAUGGAUAACUCUCAUGAGAAUGCCAAGGUGGUCCCACAUGGAAGGUUACAAAAAGGGAAAACUUUACACUUGGGGCACUACAGGUCACCACAUGGUAGAACCCAAAACCAAGCACUUCUCCCAUUGCAAGAAUCAUAGAUCUAGUUGGCCAAACAAAAUCCAAGACUCUGAGAGACUUACAAGGAUAUCAAAUCAUGCAUAAAAGAAAUAAGCAAAGACUCAAAUAUAUAUCAUAGAUAAUCUGAUCACAAAUCCACAAUUCAUCGGAUCUCCACAAACACACCGCCAAAGAAGAUUACAUCGGAUAGAUCUCCAUGAAGAUCAUGGAGAACUUUGUAUUGAAGAUCCAAGAGAGAGAAGAAGCCAUCUAGCUACUAACUACGGACCUGUAGGUCUGAAGUGAACUACUCACGAGUCAUUGGAGGGGCGAUGAUGAUGAUGAAGAAGCCCUCCAACUCCAAAGUCCCCUCCGGAAGGGCGCCGGGAAGGGUCUCGAGAUGAGAUCUCGCGGAAACGGAAGCUUGUGGCGGCAGAAAAGUAUUUUCGAGGCUCUCCUCAUUUUUUGUUGUAUUUUAGGGAAUAUAUAGGCCAAAGAUCUAGGUCAGGGGGCGGCCAGGGAGGCCACAAGCCGUGCCACCGCCACCUCCCCCUGGUGGCGGAGUGGGGGCUUGUGGGCUCCCAGGAGCCCUCCUGGCUUGGCCCACAGGCCCCCUGACCUUCUUCCGUUCGGGAAAAAAUCAUUUCGGGGAUUUUUUUCCGUUUGGACUCCGUUCCAAAAUCAGAUCUGAAAAGAGCCAAAAACACAGAAAAAACAGGAACUGGCACUUGGUAUUGAAUUAAUAAGUUAGUCCCCAAAAAGAUAUAAAAGGUACAUAAAACAUCCAAAGAUGACAAGAUAACAACAUGAAACCAUCAAAAAAUAUAGAUACGUUUGAGACGUAUCAAAGGCUUAUGUCCUUAAUGCACCACUCGGUGUGCUGCACCUCGAACAUCCUCUGUGGAUGUUGUGAACAUGUGACAUGCACGUUUUGAUGACUACAUGAUAGUUCAGUGUGUGAUACUUAAUGGCUUAGAAGCAAGGAGUCGAAGACGUUUUGAAACAUCGGGGAACAUAAGAGAUGUUCUAGGAGAUGAAAUUGAGAUUUGAUGCUCGUGCCCUUGUUGAGAGUUGUGAGACCUCUGACAUGAUUGUUUGUCUAAAAAGUAGAGGAGAAAAACUCAAAUUAUUGAGCAUGUUCUCAGAUUGUCUGAGUACAACAAUCGCUUGAAUCAAGUGGGAGUUAAUCUUCCAGAUGAGAUAGUGAUGGUUCUCCAAAGUCACUGCCACCAAGCUGCUAGAGCUUCAUGAUGAACUGUAAGCAUAUCAAGGAUAUAUAUGAUGGUCCUUGAGAGAUUCACAAUGUUUGACACUGCAAGAGUAGAAAUCAAGAAGGAGCGUCAAUUGUUGAUGGUCAGUAAAACCACUAGUUUGAAGAAAGGCAAGGGCUAGAAGGGAUACUUCAUGAAAUGGCAAACCAGUUGCUGCUCUAAUGAAGAAACCCAGGAUUGAACCCAAACCCGAGACUAAGUGCUUCUGUUAUAAGGGGAACGGUCACUGAGGCGGAGCUACCCUAGAUGCUUGGUAGAUAAGAAGUCUGGCAAAGUCGACAGAAGUAUAUUUGAUAUACAUGAUAUUGAUGUGUACUUUACUAGUACUCCUAGUAGCACGAGGGUAUUGGAUACCGGUUCGGUUGCUAAGUGAUUAGUAACUUGAAAUGAAAGCUGCGGUAUAAACAGAGACUGGCUAAAGGUGAGGUGACGAUAAGUGUUGGAAGUGUUUCCAAGGUUGAUGUGAUCAAACAUCGCAUGCUCCCUCUAUCAUCGGGAUUGUUGGUAAAACCUAAAUAAUUGUUAUUUGGUGUUUGCGUUGAGCAUGAACAUGAUUGGAUCGUGUUUAUUGCAAUACGAUUAUUCAUUCAAAGAGAAUAAUAGUUGUUCUAUUUGCAUGAAUAAUUACCCUUCAAUGGUGUAUCGAAUCUCGAUCGUAGUGCUACACAUGUUCAUAAUAUUGGUGUCAAAAGAUAAAAAGUAAUAAUGAUAGUACCACUUAAUUGUGGCAUUGCCACUUGAGUCAUGUUGGUAUAAAUGCAUGAAGAAGCUCCAUAGAUAUAGAUCGUUUGGACUCACUUGAUUUUGAAUCACUUGAGACAUGCAAAUCAUGCCACAUGAAACAAGAGAGUAACUUGUUGAGAGUAAUACAUUUUUUAUGUGUGUAGUCCAAUGAGUGCUGAGGAACGUAGUGGAUAUCGUUAUGUUCUUACUUCACUGAUGAUUUGAGUAGAUACAAGAGUAUUUACUUGAUGAAUCACAAGUCUGAAAUAUUGAAAAGUUCAAAGCUAUUUCAGAGUGAAGAUCGUCGUGACAAGAGGAUAAACUGUCUAUGAUAUGAUCAUAGAGAUGAAUAUCUGAGUUGCGAGUUUUGGUACAAAGUUAAGACAAUGUGGAAAUUGUUUCGCAAUGACACCUAGAACACCAUGGUGUGAUGGUGUGUCCGAACAUCAUAGCCACGCCCUAUUUUGAUAUGUUGCAUACUAUGAUGUCUCUUAUCGAAUUGCCACUAUCUUUAUGGGUUAUGCAUUAGAGACAACCGCAUUCACUUUAAAUAGGGCACCGCGUAUUCCGUUGAGAUGACACAAAAUAGACUAUGGUUUGGAGAAACCUGAGCUAUCGUUUCUUGAAAAUUGGGGUUGCGACGCUUAUGUGAAAAGUUUCAGUCUGAUAAGCUCGAACCCAAAGCGGAUAAAUGCAUCUUCAUAGGAUAUCCAAAACAAUUGGAUACAUCUCCAAUCAAAGAUCCGGAAGCAAAGUGUUUGUUUCUAGAAACGGGUCCUUUCUCGAGGAAAGGUUUCUCUCGAAAGAAUUGAGUGGGAGGGUGGUGGAACUUGAUGAGGUUUGUGAACCGUCACUUCAACCAGUGUGUAGCAGGGCGCAGGAAGAUGUUCCUGUGGCGCCGAUGUCAGUUGUGCUUCCCUGGCAACGGCGCCAAGAAUAGUCGUGUCGACGGCACCAGGAAUCCUUCUGUUGCAGCUAAGCCUUAAGGGACUUCCUAGGCAAAUAUGCAAAGGAUUUCCCCCGUGGCCUUGGAGCCUUGCGUCGGUGUUCCCUCGAAGCGGAAAGGGCCUUGGAGCCUUGCGUUGGUGUUCCCUCGAAGCGGAAAGGGUGAUGUAGCACAACGGUGGUAAGUAUUUCCCUCAGUUUGAGAACCAAGGUAUCAAUCCAGUGGAGGAGUAUCACAAGAUCCUGCACAAACACAAAAGCUUGCUCCCAACUCUAUGAAGGGGUUGUCAAUCCCUUAUAGAUUGUUCGCCAAGUGAGAACUGAAAGCAACAAAGUAACAAAGCAAAGUAAAAGCGGAGGUGUAAACGAUGGAUGUGAAUAGACCCUGGGGCCGUAGAGUUUACUAGUAGCUUCUCUCAUGAAAGCAAGUAGACAGUGGGUGAACAAAUUACUGUCAAGCAAUUGAUAGAACCGCGCAAAGUCGUGACAAUAUCUAUGGCAAUGAUUAUAUCUAUAUGCAUCACGUCCAAAACAAGUAGACCAAUACUUUCUGCAUCUACUACUAUUACUCCACACGUCGACCGCUAUCCAACAUGCAUCUAGUGUAUUAAGUCCAAAAGAACAGAGUAACGCCUUAAGCAAGAUGACAUGAUGUAGAUCGACAAUCUAAUAUCAACGACAAAGCCCAUCUUGUUAUGUCACGCCCAAGAUGCGACCCUAUCCUCAAUUUGGCACGAGGGCCUCGUCAGGGAUAGAAGCCCAUCUCGUCGUGUCGCAAGAAUGGAUAUCGUUACAAGUACAUGUACUGAAAAGAAGAGAUACAUAAUAGAAUUGGCUUACACUCGCCACAAGCUACAUCAAAGUCACAUCAGUACAUUACAUAAUCAUCAAGAGUAAGAGCAGGGUCCGACUAGGGACUAAAACAAACGAGAAAAGAAGAACGACGUCCAUCCUUGCUAUCCCAGGAUGCCAGCCUGGAACCCAUCCUAGAUCGAUGAAGAAGAAGAAGAAGAAGAAGAAGCAACUCCAAAUGAACAAUCAACGCGCUCGCAUCAAGUAACCUUUACCUGUACCUGAACUGGUGUUGUAGUAAUCUGUGAGCCACAAGGGACUCAGCAAUCUCAUUUCCAAAGGUACCAAGACUAGCAAAGCUUAAUGGGUGAGGCAUAGUUAAGUGGUGAGGUUGCAGCAGCGGCUAAGCAUAUAUUUGGUGGCUAACUUACUAGUACAAGAAAUAAGAGGGGGAAGAUCUACACAUAACGGACGUGAACUACAGAUGAUCAAAUGAAUGAUCCUAAACACCUACCUACGUCAGACAUAACCCCACCGUGUCCUCGAUCGGAGAAGGAACUCACGAAAGGGACAGUNNNNNNNNNNNNNNNNNNNNNNNNNNNNNNNNNNNNNNNNNNNNNCAAGACUAGCAAAGCUUAAUGGGUGAGACAUGGUUAAGUGGUGAGGUUACAGCAACGACUAAGCAUAUAUGAGGUGGCUAACUUACGAGUACAAGAAAUAAGAGGGGGAAGAUCUACGCAUAACGGGCGUGAACUACUGAUGAUCAAAUGAAUGAUCCUGAACACCUACCUACGUCAGACAUAACCCCACCGUGUCCUCGAUCGGAGAAAGAACUUACGAAAGAGACAUUCACGGUUACGCACACAGUUGGCAUAUUUUAAUUAAGUUAACUUCAAGUUAUCUAGAUCCAGUGUUAAACAAAGCUUCCACGUUGCCACAUAACCGCAGGCACGACUUUCCGAAAAGAUUUAACCCUACAGGGGUGCUCUAACUAGUCCAUCACAAAUUACCACAAGCCGCAUAGAAAUCCUCAAUCACGAAGCUCGCGAUCUCGUCGGAUUCCCUAGUGGAAAACCUCAACUCUGAGAUUACUCAAAGCAUCACCAGAAUCCCGAUGCACAAGAUGUCUCGUCAAAGGUAAAACUAAUCCAGCAAGGCCGCCCGACGUUUCGACGACCCCGAUAGGAGUCGCGUACCUCGUUCUCAGGACACGGCGGAUGAGCUAGACGUCGGGGUCGCUAAACCUCCGGGUGACCAGAGGGGCGCCGGACAUCGCUUAGCUGGGGCCAACACUCAUGAGGAGCACUGGCCCAGGGGUUGAUUAAAUUAUCCUCGGGGUCCGAAAAGUCCCUAUGCAAUUUUAUUAGGUGUUUAGGCAAAUAUAGUACCAAAGUUGGGCCUUGCCAGACCAGCUUUAAUCUAAAAUGAAUUAUCAAGGGGGUCCCCAUAACAACCCCGAUCGUGUUAGGAGCACUCGUUUAUGGAACAUAACACCGGUAGCCGAAACUAAGGGGGCAAAGGUGGAACGAAACACCAGGCUAGAAAGGCCGAGCCUUCCACCUUUUACCAAGUAUAUAGGUGCAUUAAGUUUAAAUAGCAAUUAAUAUGGUGAUAUAACAAGGAACCCAUGCUUUCACAUGGAAGCAACUGCACCUGCAACUAGCAACACUAUCAACAGGGUUAAGCAAGCAGGAACAUAGCCAAUCCGUGGUUUGCUAGGUUAAACAUGUUGAAGGUUAUCAUGGCAUUGUUGAGAGGCUGAUAUUUAACAUGUGGUAGGUAACGAGACAUAAUCGAUAGCAUCGAAAUAACUAGAAUGGCAAUGCUAGUAAUGGUAUCUGGGGAAAUGGUCAUCUUGCCUGAGAUCCCGCUUGGAAGAAGAAUGCCUCCGUGAAGCAGACGAACCGAUGUAGUCGAACGGAUCCUCACAAUCCGGCACGCUGCGGAACUCUAUCGAAAUGGGGAAAACCGGAAACAAGAAUCAACACACGAAUUCACCACACGAUGCACAACACAUACGAUGCAUGAGCAGCCGAAUACAUGCAAGACACGGCAUGUCAAUCCACACAAUCAAACACUACACAUUAAGUGAAGUUCAAUAUGCAACGAGUUAUAUAUUGACGAAACUCCACAUUUAAUUAUUUAGUUCUAUCCCGAUUAGAUACACGGCAAUAUUAAAUGUGGUUAAACAUGGCAAGAGGUGAAGCGUAAUUAAACUACCUAUCUAGGCAUUUUAAAUGAGGUCGGAAAUGACAUAUAGCACCUCCGAAACGACCUCACAUGUUAAUUUACAAUUAUGUCCAGAUAUGAUGGCAUGAAUGCAAUAUGUGUGCAACGACGAUCACGAGCAGUUCGAAACAUACAACCAGCAAGGGAAAAUGAAACUAAACGAGAUUCUAAGCAGAUUUCAUGUAGGACACGAUCAAAACGGACUUACGGUUCAAAAACUACGAGCAAAACAAGAAAUGUCUACAAUCUGCCNNNNNNNNNNNNNNNNNNNNNNNNNNNNNNNNNNNNNNNNNNNNNNNNNNNNNNNNNNNNNNNNNNNNNNNNNNNNNNNNNNNNNNNNNNNNNNNNNNNNGGAUCGCGGGGAACGGCAGCCCGCCAGGCAGGCAGCACUAGCAGCAGCAGGCGCGGCAACAACAGCAGCUCCAAGCAGCAACGGCGGCAGGCAGAGGAGGUCGGGGCCCUCGAGGAGGCGGCAUGCAAGGGGAAUGGGCGGCCACCGGCGGCUGUGGCAAGCUUGAGGCGCCGGCAGGGGCCUCGGCGAGGAAGGAGGAGGCCACGGGGCCCUGACGCGGGACUAGCCAUGGCGGGGAGGCGAGGUCCGGUGGCGAGCAGCAUGGCGGAGGAGGGGGUCGUGUUGGGGAACGUCGCAUGGGAAACAAAAAUUUUCCUACGCGCACGAAGACCUAUCAUGGUGAUGUCCAUCUACGAGAGGGGAUGAGUGAUCUACGUACCCUUGUAGAUCGUACAACAGAAGCGUUAGAGAACGCGGUUGAUGUAGUGGAACGUACUCACGUCCCUCGAUCCGCCCCGCGAACAAUCCCACGAUCAGUUCCACGAUCUAGUACCGAACGGACGGCACCUCCGCGUUCAGCACACGUNNNNNNNNNNNNNNNNNNNNNNNNNNNNNNNNNNNNNNNNNNNNNNNNNNNNNNNNNNNNNNNNNNNNNNNNNNNNNNNNNNNNNNNNNNNNNNNNNNNNAACACCUUCGGAGAUACCUGUAGAGCAUCUUUAUAGUCACCCAGUUACGUUGCGACGUUUGAUACACACAAAGUAUUCCUCCGGUGUUAGUGAGUUAUAUGAUCUCAUGGUCAUAGGAACAAAUACUUGACACGCAGAAAAACAGUAGCAACAAAAUGACACGAUCAACAUGCUACGUCUAUUAGUUUGGGUCUAGUCCAUCACGUGAUUCUCCUAAUGACGUGAUCCAGUUAUCAAGCAACAACACCUUGUUCAUAAUCAGAAGACACUGACUAUCUUUGAUCAACUGGCUAGCCAACUAGAGGCUUGCUAGGGACAGUGUUUUGUCUAUGUAUCCACACAUGUAAAUGAGUCUUCAUUCAAUACAAUUAUAGCAUGGAUAAUAAACGAUUAUCUUGAUACAGGAAUUAUAAUAAUAACUAUAUUUAUUAUUGCCUCUAGGGCAUAAUUCCAACACCAAGUCCUCCGAUCUUCUUCCGUUCCAGAAAAAAAUAUUUUCGUGGAUUUUCUUCCGUUUGGGCUCCGUUUCAAAAUCUCCUCUGAAAGGGGUAAAAACAUGGAAAAAACAGGAACUGGCACUUGGCACUGAGUUAAUAAGUUAGUCCGAGAAAAUAAAUAAAAGGCAUGCGAAACAUCCAAAGUUUGACAAGAUAAUAGCAUGAAACCAUCAUAUAUUAUAGAUACGUUGGAGACGUAUCAAGCGGCGCAGUCAAUCGAGAUGCCCCCGUUGCACUGCCUGCCAUGGAGGAGCGGGUAUUUGCACUUGCUUAGCUUGUAGAGUCAAUUUCUCCCUAGUUGCAUUGGUUAGAUUGUGAUUCGUACGGUAGUUCAGAUGGUUAGAGUAGUUGGUUGGACGGAUGGGCCGGGGUUUUCUAUAGGGUAUGGGUUGGGGGACGGGGGUUUUUGGACUAGGGUUUGUUGGAUAAAUUCGUUGCAAAAAUGCUAUGUUGUGAACUAUGAUUUUAGGUGCUGCAAUGAUUGGGGUUUUUAGAUUUGGAUAAAUUCGUUGCAAAAAUGCUAGAUGGUGUGAACAGAUUGGUUUUUUAAUGCUAUGAUGCUUAUUAGAUUUGUUUUUAGUUCUCAUAGAUUGGGGUUUUUAAUGCUACUCAGAUUCGUUGCCUUAGAUUGGGUCCCUAUUAGAUUUGUUUUUGAAUGCUACUCAGAUUGGGGUUUUGAAUGUCAUAUGCCCAAAUGGAAUCCAUUGAUUAAGAAGUUAUAAAUUUGAUUCAAUGUUUGUAAAUUUUUCAUAUUGGGGUUUUUGAUUCAUUAGUAUAUAAAUUUGAUUCAUUAGUAUAUAAAUUUGUCCACAAUAUGUAGUUAUAUUAGCUCUAUUCUUCAAUGUGUGUGCAUGACGAAUGAUCAAUGUGUGAUUUAAAUGUCAUAUUGGGGUUUUUGAUCAAUGUGUGUACAAAUCUAAUACAUUGAUAUACUAGUGAUGGAUGUGGUUUUUGAAUGCAUAGAGCUAAGGGGCACAUAAAUAAAAAACCCCACUUCUAAAACAUUUCUGAUAUUGGGAGUAUAUUAGCCCUAUGAUCAAUGUGUCAUGUGUGCAUAUCUAAAUUUUCAAUUGCUACUAGUGAUGGAUGUAAUUGUAUAUUCAGGAGGAUGAUGGUUCGGGGGGGGGGGGGGGGGAGAAAGAGGAAGAUGG